UCUGCUUCGCUGGUUGGUGGUGAAGCACAGAGAUGCGGUGUAUGGUCUGGAGUUCAUCAACGAGGAUGACGGGAGGUACGAGAUGGACAGUUUCCGGCGUAAAAGUACUACUACUCAAGAUGACGAGGAUGUUGAUGAAUAUGACGACGACGACGAUGACGAGUACGAUGUCGAGGAAGAGUAGAUUGGUGUCUCAAGAUCUCUCACAAACUCUAUGUGUUGUCUUCCCAAUAUUGUUGACUAUAAAGUAGAGCAAAAAUUAGAACCAUUGGACUUUGCUGUUUUUCGAAAGAACCUAGCGCACUUGAAAUCUGACUUUGCAUGUUUUUCCCAUGUAAGCUCCCAAUAAGGAACCCAUGAUCUAAUUGGUACAUUAUCAUCACUAGGUUUAUGAUGUGGUACUUAUUUGCUUUGUCAGUCCGUUGUGAAAGAGUAUAGCAAAAAUAUGGAAAACGCUGCAUACUCCUGAGUUGUACAACAGCACUGGAUUGAUUGCUAUUUAUUCAUCAGCAUAGUAUGUACAGAGCGGUAAACUCCCAAAAGCACACCCUGGUACAGAAGUAGUAUAGGCGGAUGCUAGGCGCCAUCCGACUGAUCCGCGGCACGGGAUCAGUUGCCUUGCAUGCCGUCUGAUGCAAAGGACCACAACCGUUGGAUCAUCUCUACCACGCAACGCACGCCUGUAGUACCCAGACCCUGCAGUAUUGUGUUCAUCUAAAAUCUCGUACCUUAUUUCUUUUGGUAAAGGCUUGAGUUCCGGAGGAGGGAGUCCAUCUCCCUUCUUUUUAGGAACCUCAAAUUUCUCGCCAAUUGUGGACUCUUGCUUUAGAUGUUGAUCUAUUUCCAUCUUACUAGGAUCUUUGGCGAAAAUUCACUGGCGUGCUCGUCCUCGCCUGCUCACGUUAUCGUGAAGCGUCCACUCUUUCUGGGAUGCGGGACGUCCUCUUGCUCCAUUAAUGUGUACCCCGAUCAUUUAAUGUGUACGUUGAACGGAAGAGCUGAUGUCGAUAUGUUGCAUGCAGACGGACGUGUAAGGUCCAUCAACGGCGUUUGGACAUGGGAUUCGGUCAAAGACGGGCUGGGGUCGGGCCACCAACUGCAUUUAACCCUGCCUCUCCCCUCACGGUCGAUCCAUUUGAUUCUAACUCUGGCAAUCUUAUAAAAAAAACUAAUUCUAACACUGCCAGUGCUGUAAAACGAGAUUGAACUUGAGUUUCGUCAUCGUAAGCUGCGUUACCGAGUAUGGUACAAUCGAAAAAAGUAUGAUGCAACCUAUGACAGUAGGUUUGAACAUACACUUCAGCAACAAUUUAUGGUUAAGAAACUUACUAUUUUUGCUGGCAUAUUUUUGUAGUUGUCGCUCGCCUCCCGGUCGAACACCAAUCAUAUGUGCUGUUGGACAAACAAAUGCAUGGGGCAGUUAGGACAUCUUCAAUGGCAACCAGCAAAUUUUCUCCCGUAUCCGUCCGUGGACAGGAGGGGACCAGUCUACGAACACAGAUGCGGGAUGCAACCAUCCAACCGUAGCCACAUAUAUUUUUGCGACAACUUGAACCAACCGGACAAAAUUUGAUCAAAUCGAAUGAAUUUUGAUAUAAACAUGGCGAAUUUCAUUGAAACUAGAAUAAUUUGUACAUAAAACCGGACGAUAUUUCGUCCGUGAAUUAAAAACCAAAAAUAAAACCCUAAAUUGUCCUAUACUUCACGAUGACCUCAUAGGCCAUGCCGGGCUGGCCGGCGGCUCCUCCUCCGUCAUCGCGGCCCGACUCGGCAUCAGAGUCGUCGUCGUCGAGAUUGGGCCGGCGGAAGGUGGCGGCAGUGCGGCAGGGCCAUGUGAAGGGCCAGUCAGCCACUUCAAUGCGGCGCAACGGCCGGAGUUGGUUCCUCGGAAACCUGUGUCCACAUUGAAGCGGCGGCUGCCGAGAGGUCGCGUCGGUCAGCACCGCCCUCCCUCCCUCCGGCCACAUCACGACAUUAAUGCGGCAGGGCCAGGAGAACUAGAAGUUUCCCCUAGCUUCUAGGGUUCCACCUCUCCUCUGGCGAUCUCGCUAGAGUCCAUGUAAAUUCUCGCCGAUCGCCGGACAUCACCGGCCGCCGGUGAGAUCUACCUUAUCCCGUCACGCGCGCUAGCAUGCAUGGCGGAUCCAAAGCGACAGGAGCUCGGGGGGAAGGGGGAUGAGUUGGCGGCGGAACUAGGGUUAGGGGAGACGGAGAAGAACAGAUCGGAGGCACCGGAGGGAUCGGGGGUGAGGAGGGAUAAUCUGUACACCAGGGAGGCGGAAGGGUAGAGCCAAAGAUCGCAGGCGAGGGGAAACAUCCCUGUUGGAGCGGAAGAUGAGUUUGGCGACUACCCCGGCUCUGGCCCUGAUCUAGAGGAUCAAUUUGCUGGGAUGAGGCUGCAUGGGAAAGAGGAGGAGGAUCUCGAUUUUUCAGUGGAGGUGGAAGAUCUGGUUAAGGACGUGCGCUGGCUUGCUCUCUUUCGGGUUCAUACGACCAAGCCUUUCAGCCACGCGGCGCUCCUGUCACAGAUGCGCAACGCCUGGUCUGCGGCGCAGGGGGUCACCUUUAACAUCAAGGGGCCAAAUCUCUUUCUUGUUCAGUGCCAUUGCUUGGGGGAUUGGAGGAAGAUAAUGGAAGGAGGGCCAUGGCUGUUCCGGAGGGCACCAGUUGUGGUUCAGGAAUACGAUGGUUUCUCUAAUGUGAAUGAAUAUCGGUUAAACAGGGUUCCGGUUUGGGCUCGCAUCAAGGGGCUGCCGGACGGUCUCACACAAAAGAGAGAGCUGGCUAAGAAAGUUGCGGCCAAGGUAGGCGAGCCCCCUUUCACGGUCAUAGUGAACGAGGGAAGGAUUAACCCGGCAAGCACCCUACGAGCUAGGGUUUUUGUGGAUGUCAAUGAGCCGCUGGUUCGAUUUGUUCCUAUAACUUUGAAGGAGCAUAAGAAGUAUAGUGUUUUCUACGAGAAACUCCCUGAUUUUUGCUUUGCCUGUGGGCGGAUGGGCCAUCUUGCUGAUGAGUGCGGAGACGGGGUUCACAACCUAGAUUCCUUUGAAUGGGGUGAUUGGUUGCUGUGGGAGCCAGAGUUGCCUGCGGCCCAACCGUACGGUGGCAGGGGCCGAGGAGGGGGUAUCGGAAGAGGAAGAGGAGGUGAAUCAGGGAGAGGAGAGAGGGGUAGAGGAGGAAGGGGACAGAUGGGUGGUAGAGGAGGGGGAGUGCCUGCAGAUGCAGACAGUGUUGGUUCACAACAUAUGGACCUGGAUGAUCGUGGUGUAGCUCAGGCGGAUGAAGGAGAUAAAGGUUCUCGGAAGAGAUUAGUUGCUGCGGAUGGCUCUAUAAAUAUUCGAGGGCAACAACUUUCUCACCUUGCGGGAAAGGAUUCAGGGACCGUUCUGCUAAUAGAAGGGGCAACAACAUCGGGCUCUAACAACACUACAGUUUCCACGCCAGAGAAGGUGCAUAUUGUCAAGAAGAGGAGACAGGAGGGAGAGGAAGGAGAUGAAACAAUGCAGAUGGAAAAGGCGGCCUCCCUUGAGGAGGGCCGCCGAGCCUGAUGAGGACUUUAUGCUGGAAGUGCCGUGGGAUAGGCGACCCCGCGACAGUUUAUGAGCUCCACGCUCUCGUGGAGGAUAGUGCGCCGUCGGUUCUUUGUAUUGUGGAGACGCAAAUUGCAAAAAAUCGAGUGGAAGGUUUGGCGGCUUCAUUAGGUUUUCAUAGUAGUUUUGCAGUAGCUAGUAGUGGGCGGAGUGGAGGUUUAUGUAUUUUUUUGGAAGAAUGAUGUUAACUUAUCAAUAAAGAAUUUUUCGCAGUAUCACAUUGAUGCUUGGAUUUCGAGCCCAGGUAUGGAUCAAUGGCGUCUCACGUGCUUCUACGGGGAGGCCAACAGAAGCUUGCGGUAUAACACUUGGGAUACUAUGAGGAGGCUGAGGGGGGAGAGCACCUUACCCUGGCUUUGCAUAGGUGAUUUCAACGAGAUUUUAUGCCAGGAGGAACAGAUGGGGCCCAAUCCUCGAGACAGCGCACAAAUAGCAGGUUUCAGAGAGGCAGUAGAUGUGUGCGGGCUGUCGGACCUAGGUUAUAAGGGUCUCGACUGGACUUUUGAGAAGCGAGUGACAGGAGGACAAUUCUGUAGGGUCCGGCUAGACCGUGCUUUGGCGACACCGAGCUGGUCUAACUUAUUCCCCUUUGCUACUGUGGAGCACUUGAUAGCAGCAAAAAGUGAUCACAGUCCGAUCCUGCUAAAGACUGAGAUGGAAACAGGCUGUCAAUGAACAAUUGGGAGGAAGCCCUUUCGUUAUGAAUGUGCAUGGGAUACUGAUGCACGCUUUAAAGAUACAGUUGCAGAGGCGUGGACGGGUGACGGUCCAGCAUUGACAGUGGGAGAGUUGGCUCAUAAGCUACAUUCUGUAGCGGCUUCUAUGUCACGGUGGCACCAGAGCACCUUUGGCUCGGUUAGACAGGAGAUGCGCUCGCUGCGGAGUAAGCUAGCUACACUCCGGGCAGACCCGUUGCGAACUUGCCCAAGUCAGGACGAGAGAAAGCUUGAAGAGCGCAUGAUCGAGCUAGCGUAUAGAGAGGAGAUUAUGGCAAAACAACAUUCACGCAUUACGUGGUUGGCUGAGGGAGACAGCAACACGAAAUUCUUUCAAAGAAAAGCCAGUGCUCGCAGGGCAAAAAACAGGAUAGUGCAAUUGAACCGGAAUGAUGGCACGGCGUGUACGGAUCCUAGUGAGUUGGCUGGUAUGGCGACGAACUUCUAUAAAAAUUUGUAUGCUUCUGAAGGAACUAUUGGGAUGAAGGAGGUCCUGUCACAUAUACCUGUAAGAGUGGAUGGUAACAUGAAUGCGCGUCUCAAUAAAAGCUACAGUAACGAGGAGGUAAAACAAGCUCUUUUUAGAUGUUUCCAACUAAGGCCCCAGGGCCAGACGGAUUUCCCGCGCAUUUUUCCAGAAACAUUGGGAUUUGUGUGCUGAUGAGGUUACAAGGAUGAUCAUCCGAGUGCUUGAUGGAGUUGAUUCCCCGGAGGAGAUAAAUAAUACGUUCAUCGUUUUGUUUCCCAAGAUAUCCAGUCCAAAAGUUUUAGGACAGUUUCGGCCUAUAAGCCUUUGUAAUGUGAUCUACAAGAUCGCUUCGAAGGUUCUACCAAACCGGCUGAAAUCUAUUCUCCCUCAGAUCAUCUCUGAAGAGCAGUUUGCAUUUGUCCCUGGACGUCUCAUUACGGACAAUUUUAUCAUGGCUUAUGAAUGUUUGCACUACAUGAAAACUAGAAAGGUGAAAGGGAAUAGGUUUUGCGCGCUCAAGCUAGAUAUGAUGAAGGCAUAUGAUCGUUUGGAGUGGCCCUACCUACAAGAAGUGAUGACAAAGAUGGGAUUCAGCCCCAGAUUCACGGACACGGUCAUGAGGUGUGUGACUUCAGUCUCCUUCUCUGUCUUGUUUAAUGGUGGUAGUCUGGAUGCUUUUAGACCUUCUCGCGAUUUGCGGUAGGGUGAUCCCAUAUCGCCGUACUUAUUCUUGCUAGCUGCGGAAGGGCUUUCAUGUCUGCUGAAGUCUCAAGAUGGCAUCCAAGGUUUGGCGGUUGCUCCCAAUGCUCCGCGGGUCAAUCAUCUCUUGUUUGCAGAUGAUAGUUUACUCUUUUUUGAGGCUAAUGAUGUCGCUGCUACACGUGUUAACGAGUUGCUCACAGCUUACUAUAAUGCAUCGGGGCAGAGGAUUAAUGUGGAAAAAAGCUCAAUUUUUUUCAGCAAGGGUGUAUCAGACGCCACAAAAGGUACGAUAAAGAAUAUCCUUGAGGUGCAUAAUGAGUCUUUAACAGAGAAAUAUCUGGGGCUGCCCUCAGAUGUGGGGAGAGCGAAAGAAGGCUCUUUCAAAUUUUUGAAGGAUAGAAUAUGGAAACGAGUGCAGGGGUGGAUGGAGAAGUGUUUGUCUGCUGGAGGAAAAGAGGUCCUUAUCAAGUCCGUGGCCCAAGCCAUUCCGACAUACUUGAUGGCAUGUUUCAAGUUACCUCGUGGUUUAUGUGAGCACCUAAACAGUCUGAUUCGGAAAUUUUGGUGGGGAAGUAAGAAUGGUCAGAGAAAGACAGCAUGGGUGUCUUGGAAAACUAUGUCAAAACCGAAGUUUAUGGGGGGCCUGGGCUUUCGAGAUAUCGAGUUAUUCAACAUAGCGUUACUUGUCCGUCAAGCUUGGAGGUUACUGCAACACCCGGAGUCCCUUAGUGCUCGAGUUUUGAAAGCUCGAUAUUUUCCAAACACUGGUCUACUACAUGCCACUCUGGGAUCAACCCCCUCCCAGGUAUGGCGGUCUCUUAUGGAGGGCAGGGACAUCCUAGAGCUGGGUCUAAUAAAGAGGAUUGGAUCAGGCACAAGCACAAGUGUUUGCCAGGAAAACUAGAUCCCGAGGGAUUAUAAACUGAGACCGAUCUGUGCCCGUUCGGCAAACCCCCCCGGCGCUGGUCUCGGAGCUUAUUGAUCCUGCCACACGAACUUGGAACAAACAUGCUCUUACUGAACAUAUUAUUGCGGCUGAUGUGGAGAUUAUCCUGAAUAUACCCCUUAGCACGAGGAUGCAAGAGGACUUCUGGGCGUGGCACUAUGAUAAACGUGGGAUAUUCUCUGUGAGAUCAGCUUAUAGGAUGAUUUGUGCCAUAAAAACUCAAGAGGGAGGAUUGGCUAGAGCAUCGGCCGGGUCAUUCAAAUAUUGCAGCGGACAAUAACUCUUGGACACAAUUGUGGAAGGUGAAGAUCCCAUCAAAAAUAAGAGUCUUUGUCUGGCGUUUGGCACACACGUCUAUCCCAACGGGACUUGUUCGUCAUGAAAGAAAAAUGGCCGACACUCCUGCCUGCUCUUUAUGUGGGUCGGAGGAGGACACUUGGCGUCAUUCACUCCUCAACUACCGAAUGGCACGGUGUGUAUGGGCGUUGGAAGACGACGAGCUGGUGGGGCAUGUGAUAUCAAACCAAACCGAAGAUGCGAAGCUAUGGUUGUUCUGGCUCUUUGAAACAACGAACCAGGAUGAUCUAGCUCGUGUUUUGGUAACCAUGUGGGCAAUAUGGUGGGCCCAGAGAAAGGCAAUCCAUGAGAAUGAAUUCCAGAGCCCGCUCUCAACUAUGUGUUUUAUCAAGAGAUUUCUGGAAGACCUCGAGAUCGCUGAUAAGCGCACACCACGGACUCAUGCUGGACGCGUGGAUGGACAUCAGGCAAAAGUUUGGUUACCACCUUCAGGUGAGGCAGCAAAACUUAAUUAUGAUGGGGGCCUUUCAACCUUGGGGGAGAAAGGAGCAGCUGGAGUUGUCUGUCGAGAUAAACAUGGGAAAUUUUUGGGCGCGUCGGCGGUGGUUUUUGAUGGCCUGACUGAUCCAGCAAGCUUGGAGGCACAAGCAUGCAGCGAGGCGCUAGCCCUCGCACAGGAUCUGAACUUACAGGAGCUAGUGAUUGCCUCAGACUGUGUUGAAGUAAUAUCUAACAUAAACAAGGCAGGAUCACCAUCUUAUGCUCCCAUCUUAAGAGAAAUUGAAGUCAGUAGGACAAACUUUGCUUCUGUUAGUUUUCGUUUUGAGAGUAGAGUUAAUAAUUUCAAGGCCCACUCGCUUGCUAAGGGAGCUGCGUCUCUCGCGGUGGGUCGCCAUGUGUGGCUUGGGGUUUUGCCAGAGAUUGCUUGUAUUCCGGAUGUUUUGAUCCUUGAAUAAAUACCCUAGUUACCCUAAAAAAAUGGUACAGAAGUAGUAUAGGCGGAUGCUAGGCGCCAUCCGACUGAUCCGCCGCCCGGGAUCAGUCGCCUUGCAUGCCGUCUGAUGCAAAGGACCACAACCAUUGGAUCAUCUCUACCACGCAACGCACGCCUGUAGUACCCAGACCCUGCAGUAUUGUGUUCAUCUAAAAUCUCGUACCUCAUUUCUUUUGGUAAAGGCUUGAGUUCCGGAGGAGGGAGUCCAUCUCCCUUCUUUUUAGGCACCUCAAAUUUCUCGCCAAUUGUGGACUCUUGCUUUAGAUGUUGAUCUAUUUCCAUCUUACUAGGAUCUUUGGCGAAAAUUCACCGGCGUGCUCGUCCUCGCCUGCUCACGUUAUCGUGAAGCGUCCACUCUUUCUGGGAUGCGGGACGUUCUCUUGCUCCAUUAAUGUGUACCCCGAUCAUUUAAUGUGUACGUUGAACGGAAGAGCCGAUGUCGAUAUGUUGCAUGCAGACGGACGUGUAAGGUCCAUCGACGGCGUUUGGACAUGGGAUCCGGUCAAAGACGGGCUGGGGUCGGGCCACCAACUGCAUUUAACUCUGCCUCUCCCCUCACGGCCGAUCCAUUUGAUUCUAACUCUGGCAAUCUUAUAAAAAAAACUAAUUCUAACACUGCCAGUGCUGUAAAACGAGAUUGAACUUGAGUUUCGUCAUCGUAAGCUGCGUUACUGAGUAUGGUACAAUCGAAAAAAGUAUGAUGCAACCUAUGACAGUAGGUUUGAACAUACACUUCAACAACAAUUUAUGGUUAAGAAACUUACUAUUUUUGCUUGCAUAUUUUUGUAGUUGUCGCUCGCCUCCCGGUCGAACACCAACCAUAUGUGCUGUUGGACAAACAAAUGCAUGGGGCAGUUAGGGCAUCUUCAAUGGCAACCAGCAAAUUUUCUCCCGCAUCCGUCCGUGGACAGAAGGGGACCAGUCUACGAACACAGAUGCGGGAUGCAGCCAUCCAACCGUAGCCGCAUAUAUUUUUGCGACAACUUGAACCAACCGGACAAAAUUUGAUCAAAUCGAAUGAAUUUUGAUAUAAACAUGGUGAAUUUCAUUGAAACUAGAAUAAUUUGUUCAUAAAACCGGACGAUAUUUCGUCCGUGAAUUAAAAACCAAAAAUAAAACCCUAAAUUGUCCUAUACUUCACGAUGACCUCGUAGGCCAUGCCGGGCUGGCCGGCGGCUCCUCCUCCGUCAUCGCGGCCCGACUCGGCAUCAGAGUCGUCGUCGUCGAGCUUGGGCCGGCGGAAGGUGGCGGCACUGCGGCAGGGCCAUGUGAAGUGCCGGUCAGCCACUUCAAUGCGGCGCAAUGGCCGGAGUUGGUUCCUCGGAAACCUGUGUCCGCAUUGAAGCGGCUGCUGCCGAGAGGUCGCGUCGGUCAGCACCGCCGUCCCUCCCUCCGACCACAUCACGAAAUUAAUGCCGGCCUCCGCGUGCUCUGGGCCGGCAUGAAUGUGGCGCGGUAAGCGGUGCGUUUAUCGGAAGGAAAGCGCGGGACGGGCGGGUGACGGGUUUUUGGUGGGACAGGGCGGUCAGAAGCGGGCGUGGGAUUGGUCCGGACUCUCGCACCCCGCCCGAACCCCCACGAUUGUCUCCAGUUUGCGGGCGAAAACGCGUCCGGACAGCGCCACUGACCGUUACAGGCCCGCGUUGGAUGACUUUCGCGGUCUGGACAGCGUGGGCCGGACGGUUGUGGGAGGUUUGAGGGUCGGCGUUGGAGAUGCCCUUAGCUGGGCCUCCUCCCCCCCCACGUUUGUCUCCAGUUUGCAGGAGAAAACGCGUUCGGACAGCAUCGCUGGCCGAAGGCCUGCGUUGGAUGGCUUCCGUGGUCUGGACAGCGCGAUCCGAACGAUUGUGGGAGGUUUGAGGGUCGUCGUUUGAGAUGCCCUUAGCUGGGACAUAGCCUUUUACAACAUGGAUGGCACGGAAAUACAUAGGAGCGGACGAGCUCUCCUGCUCAUGGAAUCGAUGAACAUUUGUCAAAUGCACGAUGAAAUUUUUUCAAAUAUACAUGAGUAUUUUUUUUAAACACGCGUUGAACAUUUUUCAAAGACAUGUAAGAUAUUUUCGUAAAUAUAUGGUGAAUAAUUUAUGAAUGUGCUGACGUUUGCUAAGAUACACAAUGACAUUUUGUAAAUACAUGGUGAAAAUGUUUUGAACAUACUUUUUUUUCAAAAACAUGUCGAACAUACUAUGAACAAUACUGAAAAACACAAUGAUUUUUUAAAUACAAAAGGACCAUUUUUUAAAUUUUCCAAUUAACAUUUUUCACAGAUUUUUUUAAAAAUGUUGAUGUAACUAUAAAAAGUGUUAACGCAUGAUGAAUAUUUUUAUAUUACACAAUGUAUACAUUUGAAUUACACUAUGAAUAAAUUUUAGUGCAUGACAAAUAUGUUUUAAAAUACAUUAUAAAUUUGUAAAAAAUAUGCGAUGAUUUUUUAAUUACCACGGUGAAUAUUAUUAACACACAUAUAAUAAUAUAUUUCAAAUACACGCGAAAUUUUUGUAUACCCACAAAUUUCUUUGAUGUACGUGAAUAUUUUAUAUUUUUAGCACGUGUAUUUUACUCAAAAGAGUAAAAAAUAAAAAAUAAAAUGUAAGGAACACUAGAAAAGAAAAGAAAAAUUAAUAAUAAUACUAGAGUGUUCGCUCGACUAGUUUUUUUUAACAAAGUUCGCUCCUAGUUUAUAUCACGACAACUUUGUUAACCAUGGCAAAUUGAUUUUCACAGCCAUGUCAAUUUACUAUUUCCUGGUCCAUGGCAAGUUUUGCAUCAAUUUGCAAAUUCAACAUCUGAGACAUGGUAAAUUGAAGUUCUGGACCAGGGCUAGUUUUGGGGCAUGACAAAAAUUCUUGUGCAAUUUUAGACGCACAAAAAACUGAAAAAGCAGAGUUUGUAGCACAACAACAUUUUUACCAUGGCCAAUUGCAUUAAUUUGCCGUGAAUGAUUUAUGUUCAGAGCUACGACAAAUUUAUUUUCAGAGCCAUGGGAAUUUACUUGUUUCUUGACCGCAGCAAGUUUACAUUCAUUUUGUAAAUUCAAAAUUUCGAGCAAUGGCAAAUCGCGUUUCUGGACCAUGCUAGUUUUACAUCCAUUGAAAAUAAUUGUAAGCAAAUUGCAUAGAGUUUGUAGCAUGGCAACCCGCAAAAAAAAACAGUUUUUAGCAGGCACAAUCACAUGUCGUGCAGGGAGUGCAGGCGUCCUGUAUUAAUGGCACGUCAUCGUUACUUAGCUGUUGCGGUCACGACAUCCGUCACGGCAUCGGCUUACUCCGUCAAAACGUACAUAGUGGCUCACACACGUAUCUGCACCUUUCCGCUGCCAUACAUCAACUAGUAUUUACACCGCUCGUAGUUAUUGCCACCAAGUGACCUUGUGCCAUUGGUCCAGAAUCCAGGAGCAAGCGAGCUCGUCCGCUCCAUUGCCACUCUCGAUCUUUGGGGCUUAGUUUAUAUGCGGUGAGACUUCUUUCGAGCUCAUCUUAUGGUGUCCCGAAGUAAAUGGCAGCGGGUUGUUCUAUUGUUUUAUCCUCACCGUUAUCGUACUCACGUGAUUGAUGAUGAUUCUUAAACCUAAAGAAGUGAAAUUCUUUUACUUCUAUUCCAAAAUGAAGAGAGACCACCCCUCUCUUGCAAUCAAUUUUAGCCACUGCAGUGUUCAAGAAAGGCCUUUCAAAGAUAAUUGGACAAAAAUCAUCAUCGGGAACUUCCUAUGACAACAAAAUCAAUAGGGUAAGUGAAAGUACCGAGGACAACAUAAACAACAGGCAAAAUACUAUAAGGUUUUCUAAAAGGGACAACAUAAACAUCAGGCAAAAAACCAUAAGGUUUUCGAAAAGCACCAUUUGCAAGUCUAAUGUCCAUGUCGGUGGUUUAGAGUUCAUUAAAAUAGAUUUCAUCACCAAUCUUAACAUAGAAAGUAUACAGUAUCACAUUGAUUGAGAACCAAUAUUGCCCAUAAUAAGAGGUGCUACGAAAAGAGUAAGGUAACAUAGGUUUUCCUGUGUCUGCAACCUUAAUGCAUCCUUUGACAAAAGAUGUUGUCUAUUUUUCCAUUUCCACCACAUUAUUACUUACUGGUUUUUUUAAUUUCUUUCUUCUUUUCCGGGGGUGGCUUCGCCUGAACCGUACAUAUGUCAUUGUUGUCCCUGUAGGAUCCUAAGUAGNNNNNNNNNNNNNNNNNNNNNNNNNNNNNNNNNNNNNNNNNNNNNNNNNNNNNNNNNNNNNNNNNNNNNNNNNNNNNNNNNNNNNNNNNNNNNNNNNNNNNNNNNNNNNNNNNNNNNNNNNNNNNNNNNNNNNNNNNNNNNNNNNNNNNNNNNNNNNNNNNNNNNNNNNNNNNNNNNNNNNNNNNNNNNNNNNNNNNNNNNNNNNNNNNNNNNNNNNNNNNNNNNNNNNNNNNNNNNNNNNNNNNNNNNNNNNNNNNNNNNNNNNNNNNNNNNNNNNNNNNUUAAAACUUAACAUUUUCCUGUUUUAGUUCUUGGCAGAUUUUAGCAAUUCAAGCAAGUCUACAAACACCCUACACAUGCAAGUCUAAUAGUGGGGCAACAGAAGGUAAAGACUUUGCAAGUGAUAGUAAGCAGAGGGAGGGUUUGGAGAUAUGCAAACACUAUGGUGACACGGAAGAUUUUGACCUGUGGUUCCUAUAAGUGGUGCUAUCGUACGUCCACAUUGAUGGAGACUUCAAUCCCUAGGAUAACGAUUGUGACAGUCCACAAAGGGCUCCACACACGAAGGGUCCACGAAGAAGUAACCUUACCUAUUCCACCAUGGCUUAUGUCCACGAAGGAUUAGUCUCACUCGGGGUAGAUCUUCAUGAAGUAGGCGAUCUCCUUGCCCUUACAAACUUCUUGGUUCACUCCACACUAUUUGGAGGCUCCCAAGCACACCUAACCAAUUUAGGGGGCACCACCCUCCAAAAGGUAAUAGAUGUUUUUGAUGAUGGACUCAUUGCUCUUGUACUAUAAAAGAUAGUCUCUUCAAUACUCGAAUACUCUCUAACAGAUUUUGGCUAUGCGUUAGGAGAGGGAUUUAGGUGGAAAGCAAUUAAGGUGGAUAGAGAUCAAAGUUCUAUGGUUGGAGUGGAAUCCCUUUGAUCUCAACACAAGAAUUUGGAGCUCUCUCUCAGAAAAAUGGAUAUGGGAAUUAUAUGCUUCACUCUGGUUGCCCUCUGAGAGUUGGUGGAAUGGGUGGGGUUAUAUAUAGGCAACACCAAAAUCCAAACGAUACACACCUUUAUGCACUACUCGGUGGGACCGGGUGAAACCACUCGGUGAGACCGACUAGUACAAAAGGUUUGAACUUUAGGAUUUUUGGUGAGAUCGGAUGAAACCAAUUGAUGGGACCGAGUCAUGCUGACUUAAGAACUUUCCACACUUUGAUGUCACUUACUGAAACCACUCAAAAAUAUUGAUUGAAUUCCAGUUGGCAACAAAAGGUUGGCCGGUGCUCUUCGGUGGGACCGAAGGGUCAAUUCGGAGUGAUAAGGUUCUAGGGUUUAGGCAACGACUAUGUCAUGUGUAUCUUGGUGUGUCCGGGUAUGAUGUUUUGGUGGGACCGAGAUGAACUUUAGGAUUUUGUACAUAGUGAAAUGUGAGAGUUUGACUAAGGUUUUUGGAGCAAUAUCUUUAAGCACUUGAGCAGUGAAUCCAUAACCACAUCCCUUUUGAAUAGUAUUGGAUUUUCUAUGGACUCAGUGUGAUCUUGUACCACUUAAAUAUCAUUUCUACUUAUAAAAUUUUGAGUUGGUUGUGAGUUCACCCACCCUCCUUCUAUUACUUGUGGUAUGCUACCUCUUGAGCACUGCGUUGGUUUUCCCUUGAAGAGGAAAGGGUGAUGCAGCAAAGUAGCGUAAGUAUUUCCCUCAGUUUUUGAGAACCAAGGUAUCAAUCUAGUAGGAGGCCACGCCCAAGUCCCUCGCACCUACACAAACAAAUAAAAACCUCGCAACCAACGCAAUAAAGGGGUUGUCAAUCCCUUCACGGUCACUUACGAAAGUGAGAUCUGAUAGAUAUGAUAAGAUAAUAUUUUUGGUAUUUUUAUAAUAAAGAUGCAAAGUAAAAUAAAAGGCAAUAAAAAUAGCUAAGUGUUGGAAGAUUAAUAUGAUGGAAAAUAGACCCAGGGGCCAUAGGUUUCACUAGUGGCUUCUCUCAAGAGCAUAAGUAUUAUGGUGGGUGAACAAAUUACUGUUGAGCAAUUGAUAGAAUUGAGCAUAGUUAUGAGAAUAUCUAGGUAUGAUCAUGUAUAUAGGCAUCACGUCCGUGACAAGUAGACCGACUCUUGCCUGCAUCUACUACUAUUACUCCACACAUCGACUGCUAUCCAGCAUGUAUCUAGAGUAUUAAGUUCAUAAGAACAGAGUAACGCUUUAAGUAAGAUGACAUGAUGUAGAGGGAUAAACUCAUGCAAUAUGAUAUAAACCCCAUCUUGUUAUCCUCGAUGGCAACAAUACAAUACGUGCCUUGCUGCCCCUGCUGUCACUGGGAAAGGACACCGCAAGAUUGAACCCAAAGCUAAGCACUUCUCCCAUUGCAAGAAAGAUCAAUCUAGUAGGACAAACCAAACUGAUAAUUCGAAGAGACUUGCAAAGAUAACCAAUCAUACAUAAAAGAAUUCAGAGAAGAUUCAAAUAUUGUUCAUAGAUAAACUUGAUCAUAAACCCACAAUUCAUCGGUCUCAACAAACACACCGCAAAAGAAGAUUACAUCGAAUAGAUCUCCACGAGAAUCGUGGAGAACUUUGUAUUGAGAUCCAAAGAGAGAGAAGAAGCCAUCUAGCUAAUAACUAUGGACCCAAAGGUCUGAGGUAAACUACUCACACAUCAUCGGAGGAGCUAUGGUUUUGAUGUAGAAGCCCUCCGUGAUCAAUGCCCCCUCCGGCAGGACGCCGAAAAAGGCCCCAAGAUGGGAUCUCAUGGGUACAGAAGGUUGCGGCGGUGGAAUUAGGUUUUCGUGGAUGCUUCUGUUGGUUUGGGGGUACGUAGGUAUAUAUAGGAGGAAGAAGUACGUCGGUGGAGCAACGUGGGCCCCAUGAGGGUGGAGGGCGCGCCCAGGGGGGUAGGCGCGCCCCCAUACCUCGUGCCCUCCUGGUUGCUUUCUUGACGUAGGGUCCAAGUCCUCUGGAUCACGUUCGUUCCAAAAAUCACGUUCCCGAAGGUUUCAUUCCGUUUGGACUCCGUUUGAUAUUCUUUUUCUGCGAAACUCUGAAAUAGGCAAAAAAACAGCAAUUUGGGCUGGGCCGUCGGUUAAUAGGUUAGUCCCAAAAAUAAUAUAAAAGUGUAUAAUAAAGCCCUUAAACAUCCAAAACAGAAUAUAAUAUAGCAUGGAACAAUCAAAAAUUAUAGAUACGUUGGAGACGUAUCAAGCAUCCCCAAGCCUAAUUCCUGCUCGUCCUCGAGUAGGUAAAUGAUAAAAACAGAAUUUUUGAUGUGGAAUGCUACUUAGCAUAAUUUCAAUGUAAUUCUUCUUAUUAUGGCACGAAUGUUCAGAUUUGAUAUGAUUCAAGAUAAAAGUUUGAUGUUGACAUAAAAACAAUAAUACUUCAAGCAUGCUAACCAAGCAAUUAUGUCUUAUCAAAAUAACAUAGCCAAAGCAAGUUAUCCCUACAAAAUCAUAUAGUCUGGCUAUGCUCCAUCUUCCCCACACAAAAUAUUCAUAUCAUGUACAACCCCGGUUUUAGCCAAGCAAUUGGUUCAUACUUUUUAACGCGCUUCAGCCUUUUCAACUUUUACGCAAUACAUGAGAGCAAGCCAUGGAUAUAGCACUAUGGUGGAAUAAGGUAUAAUGAUAGGGGUUAUGUGGACUCCGUUUGAUAUUCUUUUUCUGCGAAACUCUGAAAUAGGCAAAAAAACAGCAAUUUGGGCUGGGCCUCCGGUUAAUAGGUUAGUCCCAAAAAUAAUAUAAAAGUGUAUAAUAAAGCCCUUAAACAUCCAAAACAGAAUAUAAUAUAGCAUGGAACAAUCAAAAAAUAUAGAUACGUUGGAGACGUAUCAUGGUACCUACUGUAGUUACACUGAAAUAAAAAAUGCCUUGUUCCUGCCCCGUCCCGUAAUGCGGUUGGUUUUGUUAGCCCAUCUUGUGCGCCGCCGCUAUUCCCCAACCAUCAUUCUCUGGGCCCCUCUCCUCACCAAUUGAUAUCCGCGGGCGUUGGAAAUUUGAAUCCUCAUCUCCCCCAUGGACGUUGCAUCCCAUAGACAUCUCCCUUCUCACCUCCCAAUGCCCACCACCCACCGACUACGCUCGCCUCCCCCGCUUCUAAUCUGCACCCUCAGCCAUAUGCCUGCGCCCAUCGUCUUCACUUCUAUUCCUCGAAAGCUUCCUUCAACACCACUUAGGUAAGGACGAAAAUGAGAAACUCUCCUCUUCUCUUCAGUGAAGGCAUGAAGCAGAGAGGGGAGUCAGAGGCGAGGGAGUGCCUGGUCAUUGGGAGGGUCAUGAGCCACCGCCGGAGAGCGAGGAGGAUGGCGUGAUGGUGGAGGUCGUCGCAGCGAGGAAGAUUCAUUGCAAGGUGGUUGGUUGAAGACGAGGGGAGGAGAAGUGGGGGCAACUAAUGGCGUGUGAGAGUGAUAGGGCAUCACUGGGAAGAGGGGACAUGUGAGUAGCUUGCUAUAAGGAGAGGAUGUCAUGUCAACUGGGAUUGCGGCUGUAAGUUUUUGCUAAGCCCCCNNNNNNNNNNNNNNNNNNNNNNNNNNNNNNNNNNNNNNNNNNNNNNNNNNNNNNNNNNNNNNNNNNNNNNNNNNNNNNNNNNNNNNNNNNNNNNNNNNNNNNNNNNNNNNNNNNNNNNNNNNNNNNNNNNNNNNNNNNNNNNNNNNNNNNNNNNNNNNNNNNNNNNNNNNNNNNNNNNNNNNNNNNNNNNNNNNNNNNNNNNNNNNNNNNNNNNNNNNNNNNNNNNNNNNNNNNNNNNNNNNNNNNNNNNNNNNNNNNNNNNNNNNNNNNNNNNNNNNNNNNNNNNNNNNNNNNNGAUUCGGGAGAGAGCGAUUGGGGAUUGGAGCAAUGAUUCUAUAUACAACAGUGGAAGCUACUGCAGUUUUUCGCAGCGAAAUAGAAAGGGGGUGAUGCACAUACUGUUUUUUUAGAAGUUCAAUAGAAAUACAAAUCUAUUAAGGGAAGUUUACAAAAGAGAGGAUUGUGUUGUGUCAUUGUGCUUCCAUAUAUUGAUCGACUUCAUUGAAAUUUUUGGCAGCGUUGUCCUGCAAAAAAAAUCUAUGCAUGUUAUUGUAUAACAUUCAGAAAUCAGAUAUUACAAAAUUGUUAUAAUGUUCUUAGUUAACAACAUAGUAUGAUCACAUGACUACCAAUUUUGCCAAUAGCUUUUCGAAUUUUAUUUUACAUUUUAAGUCUACUUUUUAGUGCAUUUUUAUGUCUCCAUUGAUGUAUUGCAAAUUAUUUGUUCAUGAGCACCUUCAGUGAUGUAGGUGCCUAGCGCAGGAUGAAGCUAUAGCCUACAAGAAUGAGAAUGCUUUUUCUCAUGAGUAUACAUAAGCCUCAUGUGCGUCAUGAUAAUAGUUCUUUGCAUUGGCUAUAGUUUUCUAAUAUGCUUUCGUCUAUGGAUUUGCAUUAUAAAAUAUUUCAUAUACGGGUGCAGAUUCACUUAACACUAUUUCCUCACAUGAAUGGUCUCUAUAGAACAAUGUGCAUGUUUCUCUCCAUUGUGGUUGGUUGUUUAAUAUGUUUCACUAUGCAUUUAUAUUAUAUACAUAAGAGAAUGAUGCCAGUUAUCUUGUAGUUCGAGCAAUUGAUGGAGCAAUGCAUCACUUGGAUGAAGUUAUUUUGCCAGUAAAGAGAAGUUGUUUCAUGACGUGGAAGUAAAAUUAGUAUUGUGUCCAACAAGUUGAGCAUUUGAUUACGAAUGGCUCUCAGAAAAACAUGCCAUCUGCAAUGGGUUAUUUCCUGAAACAUUUUUUACAGGCCAUCCAUGUAUCUUCUUUCAAUCCAACAUGAUAUUAUAUGGUGAACUUGAUGCAUCUAAAAGAUAAACCUUGAUAUAUCUGUAACUUUUGGGACUACACACGCAGAUAGUCAUAGUAUUGAGAUUGUGUUAUGCUAACAUUUUUCUAGAAAUAAUGCAGGAUUAAUAGUCUAGUGAUCUAAGAGGACUUAUAUUUGUUUAUAGAGGGAGUAAUUAUUUAAGAUGCUUGAGAGCUUGAGGUAUGUGUUUUGUACUAGAAUUAAGAUACAUUAUGAAAUGAAAGUGUGGAUGAUAUCCCUUUCUCUUUGAGAUACCACUAAGAUUUAAUUUUGCACCAUGUAUUAUUGAGUGUUACUCACUUCAUUUUAGGUGCUUUUGAAUGUAUGUUACUAUAACAAAAGCAGAUCCCCGUUACAUACCUGGCUUAAGUUAAGGAAGUUUGCAUGUAUGUAUUUAAACUAAUUAGGUCACAUAUUUAUUUCAUCACUUAACUCCAAAGCCCAUUAUAUGAUUUCUGUCUGACAAGGAGAUGCAACAACUUUAGAGCAUGUCAUGUUGUUUGUGCGUGUAGAACUGCAAAUACUUUGUUCACAUGUGUUAGAUAAUGCUGGAUGUUUGGUUCCACGUAAAUCCGGUUGUGUUGGUGAUGUUAUUAAUACAAAGACUCUUGACUAAGUACUAUUGUUGGUUCCAUAUAUUAAAACUUAUUUCAUGUGGCUCCAUAGUGUAGCACAUGGACCUUACUAGUAAAUGGAGAAUCUUGAGGCUUGGCCAACACCUGUCCUUAGCAUUUUGAGGGGUCCACUUUUCACAUCCCAAUUGUUAUACCUAAAUUGAACUUUCUUGAAAUGUUCCUUGAGUAGGCAUUAGUUCAAUGAUAUAUAUGUUGUGAUGAAUUGCCAAAACCACUCAGUGAAUAGAUGCACUUUCAAUCUCCUUUUUGGUAAUUGAUGACAACAUAUAGAUCAAGGCUUCAACAUAAGAUAUAAUCAUGAAUAACAUCGUCGCUUUGAGAAUCAUGUGAUAAGCAAGAGCUCCCCCUAAAUUGGUGCAUUAUUUGAAUUGGUGUUGGAAUGCAAAUGAACAAUCGAUUAGGUUUGUGAGGUAACUCUUCCAUGUCACAUACAUCUUGGUGGAGUGCACAAAAGAAUGUGAAUAGGGUUUAAAAUUGCACACAUAACCAAGCACACAUGUGAAUGACCAUGAUAAAAUGCAUAAGCAAAUGAUAAGUAUCAUGAUAAGGUAAACAAGCUUAGGACGGUAAAAAACACGAGAUAAAGUUUACAUCCAACAAGAAUCUAACGAAGUAUCAAGGAUAAAAACCAGCAAAAUCAAAUACUCCCUCUCUCUCGCAUCCUAUAGAUCUAUAUGUUGGAAAUAUGCCCUAGAGGAAAUAAUAUUUGUAUUACUUGUUUACAUGUUUAUAGUUAAGAGUUUAUAUUCCAUGCUAUAACUGAUAUGGUUCUUGAAUAUGCAAUUCAGAGGAAAAUCCAUAUGCACUUGUAGAAUGAUAGUUCACCUAAGCUCUCGGUUGCACUUGUUUUUCACUCCUUGGUGAAUCAUAUGGAAAAUAUGUUGUUUGCAAGUUGCUUUGCUUCCGGUCUCUAGUUGGGCUUUGCGCCAAUGGUGUAACAAGUCAUAAUAUACUACUGGGGUGAACAACAUAUAUCCUAAGACAAGAAAUAAAGAGAUACAUAAAUCAAGUACGGCGACAUCGUUUUCUUCUCAAGGAUAAUUUUGGUCUCAGACAACAUAGUUCUGCUCCUUCUGGUAGUGUACUCUUCUUCCUUGUAGUACUCAUCUUCUUCCUUUAGGUCUCCACCAAAUUUGUCGAAGUCUUCUGAUGGGUCAACGACAACACCAUUCGACUUUGUCGGGUCGAUUACAUAGAAUCAUUGAGCGAACUCUCCUUCAUGUCAUCCUGAUGAUCUUCUUCAUGUUCGACUGCCUCUUGGUCGCUCCCUCCUUUUGGUUCUUUAUCGAAAUAGUUACUCGCUUCUUCAUCUACCACCCCUUCGACGUCGGAAACAUCACCCUCGUCCUCACCGUGCCUAGUCCAUGGUGUAUAACCAGACAAGAAAUCAUGUUUGAGCAAGGGCAUCUUCACAUACGGAGUAAAAGCAUCGAUCAAAACUUCAUGUUUGGCACUUCUUACACAGACAUACUAUCUCUGUUUUACCCUUCUAAAUCAUAUCUUCCACCGUCACCUUGAUAAAUCAUUUAUAGUUUGAUCCAUGGAAUCGUUCAAUCGAUCGAGCUUCCUACAAGGGUAUGAGAAAAAUAAUUAUAUAUAAACAACAAGGAUCAUAGAAAAUUUCAGCACGAUCUUUGUUAAAAAAUGGACAUAUUGAGUGCCAGAAAUUUGACGAAACAGAAAUUCUGGCAUAGCCGACACCGCAACACACAUAUGUGUAUACCAAUCACAUGCAUCCAUCACAUAAUUAACAAGAAGCUAGUUCUCUCAUAGAGAGACGAAGAUGAUUGAGCUAGUCAUGGAUAGAUCAGGAAAGAGAGGCCGGUCGUACAUAUGUAGGUCAUGUACAUGUGGGGAUCAGAGUGUGAUCUAGAGAGAGGAUUUGGAGGGAGGUAGUUAUAGCUAUAGAUGUGAGAGAAGCAUGUUUAUAUAAUUGUGAGCUGGAUUGUUCGAGCGAUGCUAUCAGUGGCAUGACUUACUGGUGGUAAUCCACUUAUAGGCAUGGCACUACCAUGUGAGGCCCAAAAAGCGGACAUCACAAAAGAUACUGGUAGUGUGGUGAAAAGUAACACUCCACCGGCCGGCUCAAUGUCAGUCGCGUGGUAAAAAAAUCACACGCCACCGUUAACUUGCGGCUGGCCAAACUGCUAGGCCCCACAUACUGGUGACGUAGCAUUUAGGAGACACGCCACCAGUAAGACAAUAUUGAUGGCGUGUGAAAUUGGCCCACAUUUAAUAAUACUUGUGACGUGGUGGCGUGCCACUACUAAAGAUUGUGUGUAAACAUUUCUGCACUAGUGAGUGUUCAGACGCCUCCACGUGGUGUGACUUGUCUGGGAGAUCAUCGAAAGACAUUGUAGUCAUAUAAAUUGAAAUACGUGAAGCAAAUAAGUCACGUACCUCUGAAGAGGAGAGUAGAAGGCCCUGGAGUAUUGCACAUAUCCGGGCUUAUUACACUUAAAGGCAUUGGCUUUAGUUUCUGUACAUACUUAGCUACUAACAUCCCUCUUGACCCGGCGUAUGCCACUAUAAUACUGUAGGGAAACGUUGCAUGGAAAAAAAAUUCUACGCACACGCAAUGAUCUAUUCAUGGAGAUGAAGGAAAUAUGCCCUAGAGGCAAUAAUAAAGUUGUUAUUUAUAUUUCCUUAUAUCAUGAUAAAUGUUUAUUAUUCAUGCUAGAAUUGUAUUAGCCGGAAACUUAAUACAUGUGUGAAUACAUAGACAAACAGAGUGGCACUAGUAUGCCUCUACUUUGACUAGCUCGUUAAUCAAAGAUGGUUAAGUUUCCUAGCCAUAGACAUGUGUUGUCAUUUGAUCAACGGGAUCACAUCAUUAGAGAAUGAUGUGAUUGACUUGACCCAUCCGUUAGCUUAGGACUAUGAUCAUUUAGUUUAUUGCUAUUGCUUUCUUCAUGACUUAUACAUGUUCCUAUGAUUAUGUGUUGGUGUGGAACGACACCUAUGGGAUCACAAGAAUCCCUACUACGGUUGCCGGGGCGCGGGGUUGCGAGAGGAGCAGGGUUAGUAGCCAGCACAAGGAUCGUUUACCCAGGUUCGGGCCGCGAGGAUGCGUAAAACCCUAGUCCUGCUUUGGUGGGUGUAUUUCAGAGAGUUCUUGAGCUCUCGUACUAGCUGUGGUCAGUGCGUGGUUCGAAAGAGCCGAAUCCUUCUCCAGUAUGCCAUGGGCCUCCUUUUAUAGUUGAAAUGGGCUGCCACAGUGGCACACAGGAGGUGGAAAGGCAUACAGUGCCCUGAGCUUAUCGCUCGUAUUAUAGGACAAGACGCAUUUAAUGCGUAGCUUAGGUGUCCCUCUGCUUUAUUUGGGACUGGGCGAGGCCCGUCCCGUCCGUCGCCACUCCUCCUUGCUUUGACACGCGCCCUGGCCAGUGAGGCGUGCGGCGCCAUGUAGGCAGGCAGGCAGCUGAGGUGGCGCGGUGGCGGAGCCUUCACAAAGAUCUGCAUGCCGCCACACAGGCGCUCGAUGAAUUGGCCUGGGAGCUGCAUGUUGCCACGCAGGUGCCCGCCCAGCUGGUUGGGCUGGCAGCUGCAUGUGAACGGCGGUGGAAGCUUGGUUGGCGUGGGCCUGGCGAUGGCCCUGCUGGCGUCCUUGGAGAGGGCCUUGCCGGGUGGCUCGGCAAGGGUCUUGCCGGGUGGCCCGACAAGGGUCUUGCCGUGGCGCGCUGUCGUCCCCGGCAAGGACCUUGCCGGGGGUCUGGUGGCUUUCCUCGGUAAGGUUCUUGCCAAGGGUUGUCGUCUUGUAAUCCUCAUCUGAUCUUGAAUAUGUCUUCGCAAAGAUCUGCUUGCCACCACAGAGGUGCCUUCCUGAGCCCCGGCCCCACGUGGAUGAUGGCGUUGGGGACCGUGGGCUCAAGGGUGGCUCGCUCUAUUGGUGUGGGGCGAGCUGUCCCGGCAAGGAUCUUGCCGGGGCUGCUGAGGCUGCCCCGGCAAGGGUCUUGCCGAGGGAACCUACUUCGUCCCUCUGCUCUUUGUGGUCUUGGCCUUGGCUUUGCUCUGAAUAUCUUGAGCUUCGGUCUUACCUUGGCUCACCUCCCCUGCUCUGCUUGGCGUGACCGUAGGCGCGACUCCGACUGCCCGUGCACUGGUAUAGGGGUACAAAAACGCACCCCUCUUUUUGUACACUGACAGGAGCCCCCGGGCCUGGGACACACAUAAGCGCGACACGUUGUUGGGCCAGGCCCAAAACGGUGCGCGGGCAGGCGGGGCGGUUUUUACCGCAGUAAAACUUUUCGCGCGCGGCGCUUACCACGACCCGCGCGCGCGGCGCGGCGUGGAGGGGUGUGCGUGACGUGGGCGGCAUGCGUGGGGCGGUUCCUGCACGCAUGCGUCACAUCGCAGUAAAUGGGCUGCGCGACCCGCGGCUUCCCCAUAAAAAGGGAUAACCGCGGGCGCACUGUUCCUUUUACCCUUCGCGCAACCCCAAUCUCGGAAACCUCCGCCUGCCUUCCUCUUCUUCUCCAAGCUUCGUUCCUGCUCGCCGCCGUUGCGCUUCCGCCGCCCUUUGUCCUGCCCUCCUCCCCCAGUCACCAUGGCACCAAAAUCCACCAAGGGCAAGGGAGUGGCCAAGGACGCCGGAGCCGCGGAGCCGCCGGAGAGUGCACUGGCGGUGCAGCGGACGCAGUCCGCCUUCUUCCCCUCGACAGUUGACGUGUUCGAGCUUCGGGACUCCUUCAGGCCCCUGUGGGGAGNNNNNNNNNNNNNNNNNNNNNNNNNNNNNNNNNNNNNNNNNNNNNNNNNNNNNNNNNNNNNNNNNNNNNNNNNNNNNNNNNNNNNNNNNNNNNNNNNNNNNNNNNNNNNNNNNNNNNNNNNNNNNNNNNNNNNNNNNNNNNNNNNNNNNNNNNNNNNNNNNNNNNNNNNNNNNNNNNNNNNNNNNNNNNNNNNNNNNNNNNNNNNNNNNNNNNNNNNNNNNNNNNNNNNNNNNNNNNNNNNNNNNNNNNNNNNNNNAGGCUGCCCCAAAUCGGUACCCCUUCUUUGUCGAUUAUUUUCCCUGCGGGCUCUGUCCUCCCUUCUCUGAUUUCUUCAGUGACGUCAUGCAUACCUUUGCCUUCCGCCUCCUGGAUUUUACUCCGAAUGCGGUGGCGUGCAUGGCCCUUUUCGCGCAUCUCCGCGAGGGCUUCGCUGGGGGUGCACCCCAACACGGCACUCUUCCGCCAUUACUUCUCCCCUCAGAUCCAACCAGGGGGCGCCAUCUCCGGUUGCAUCGCCUGGGUCUCAAGAUCCAAGGGAGCGUAUCAGGAGGGCACAAUGAAGGAGAGGUGGGAAGAAUGGCGGGGCCGGUGGUGCUGGAUCAAGGAGAAGGACCCGCCGGCGUUCUGCGAAGUUCGUCGGGCGCCGCUGGUCCGCAGAAGCGACUGGAGCAACGUCGAUGCUGACGAUGAGAAGCUCAUGGUCGCCACCACCAGGAUCCUCCGGCUCACCGAGGCCGGCCUCACCCUUGAGAUGAUCGGGGCGGACUUCAUCCGCCGCCGGAUCGCUCCACUGCAUAACAAGGGGAGGCCAGCCUGGCUCUUCACGAACCCCGCCGACAUCAUGCGGCUUCGUCCCGGCCUCGACCACAAUUUCACAGUGAUGGGGCACGCCCAUUUCUGCCAGCGGCUCUUCCAGCUUGACAUGGGCCGCGACGGCGAGGUCAAGUGGACCGGCAAGGUCGCGAGGGCCGCCGCGAAGGCUGGCAAGGUCCUCAAGGGGCCUCUGUUCAAGCUGCCGACGGGGGUGGUCCCGUUGUGCAAUAACUCGCGCCGGUCCGACAUCAUUGCCAUGAUGCUGGACUGCAACGCGCAUGCCUUGACCCGAGCUGGAAGGAGCCGGAGGACGCCGAGGUGCAACAGUUCUUUGACACUUUGCACGAGGGGUACGUCAACGCCGACGCCGAGCGGCUGCUUGUCCAGGACACCACCCAGGCAGAGCUGGACUACAUCGCCACCAGGGCAAGGGAGGCACAACUUGCCAAGGAGGCCGGCAGCACCGGCGGUGUGGAGGACAAGGCCUCGAUGGCCGCGGAGGAGGAGGAGCUCGCCCGAUGGGCGGCGGCCGCCGGGGGAGCCAGCAGCGCCGGCACCGAGGCUCCUCUGGUUGAAGAUGUGACCGGCGAGUCGUCGUCGUCGGAGGAGGCCGAGACUGCAGGCCCGACGCUGGCUAUGGGGAGAGGGCGAGUCCUGCGGCGGGCCAGUUCCGGCGAGCCGGUCCGGCCCAGUAGGGCUGCGCGACCACAGCUGACCUUGGAGAGGUCCGGGCGCCACACGAGGGCCGCAGCGGCAAAGAAGCCGGCGAAGGCCGCGAUGAAGAAGAAAACAGCCGCCCCUUCUUCGUCCACGCGUGUCCAGACACCACCUCCUUCUCCUCCUCCGGCGAAUGUUGAUACGGAGGUUACUUUCGAUUAUGGAUCCCUCAGCCCGAGGAGGAAGAGGAAAACAGCAGAGGAGGAGGCGGACGACGAGUAAGUAUCUGGUUCCUUUUCGUUAUCUCUGCCUCCUCAAUCUGUGUUGCUCGUCUUGACUUGUCAUCAUCUUUGCAUGGACGUGGAGACGCUGGCCCAGAGAGUGAAGAGGGCCAAGGUCUCGGCGGGUGGCCAGCCCCCAGUUGGUACUUCGAGGGCGCCACUGGUGGUGUUGAGCAGCCCGGACAGCAGCCCCCGGCAUAGCCCCCGGCGUAAGUUCAUCACUCUUCCCCCGUCGACAUGUGUCAGGGGCACGACACUUUGGUGCUGACCUUGCCAGGUAUGCAGGAGGAGAGCAGCAGCAGGAGGAGCCACAGAGGGCUACUCCCAACACGCUGCCCCCAUCGACCACGCCGCCCCGAGGGGCGUCCCCGGCAAGGGCGCCAGGCACCGAGCCCACGCACAUGGAGGAGGAGGAGGAGAACUUGGGCGCCGGCGGCUUUGCCUCGACGCCAAAUGUUGGCGGGGAGGGGACUUCCGUUUCCCAGCCGGGUACUGGCACAGGUAAGUCGUUUGCCGUUCGUCCCUGCUUCUUUUUCUUUCCGGCUCUUGGUCCUGGCCUUGCCUCACCCCCUUCUUUGGCAUCCAGAUUCCUCCUCGGUGAACCCAGAGGACAUGGACACCGUCAUCGAGGACGUCGCCAUGGCUGCCGAGGCGGACGCCGAGAAGAUCGCCGCCGAGGAGGCCGCCAAGGGUGCUGCCGAGGACGCCGCCAAGGGGCCUGUCGGGGAGGCCGGCAAGGCUGCCGCUGAGGAGACCGGCAAGGGGCCUGCCGAAGAGGCCGGCGGGGCCGCUGCCGAGGAGGAGGAGGAGGUGGCUGAUGACCAGCCUUCCUCUUCUGCUGCUUCCGGCUCCGGCAAGUACUUGAGGGUGAGCGACGACUUGUUCGUCCACCUUCCAGGCGCGUCGAGCACCAGGACACCCGUUGAGGGAGAGGUGUUUGACGACGAAGUGCUUGCCGCUGCCGGGCUUGAAGUCGUUGACGAGCCGAUCGUUGGUGGCGACGGUUCGCAGGAAGAGCGGCUCCUCCACACCAUGGGCGCCAGCUUCUGGAAGCUCCAGCCGCUCCACCGCGCCCGCCUGGACAAGGCUAAGUCCAGGACGGCGGUGGUGGAGAAGGCGGAGGCGGACCUCCAAAAGCGCGUUCCCGAGACGUAGGUCUAGUUCCGCAAGGCCCACAAGGAGCUCAAGGCUGCCCAGGGCGAGCUGGCCAAGUGCGACGUGGAGCUCACCAUGAAGCUCGCCGACGUCAAGAAAGCUCAAGAGACGACGAGGAACUUGGCCGCGGCCGCCGAAGCCGCCCGGACCCAGCACGAGGCCGCGCUGAACUCCCAGGAGGAGGACCUCGAUGCAUGUGAGGAGAAGCUUGCCGCCAUGCUUCGCGGCAAGGAUGCAGAGGUGGAGAAGCUUGUCUUGCAGCGGACCAGUGAGCUGGAGCAGAGGCACGAAGAGGCACUCAAUGCCCAGGCCUAGGUUCACGCCGGCAAGGUGGAGGAGCUGGAGGCGGAGCGCGACGGGCUGAAGGAGCAGGCCCUGAAGCUGUCCCAGGAGAAGGACACGCUUAACAGUGCCCUGACAGAGGCACAGGGUGCGGUCGUCAGCAAGGCUGGGGAGCUCUCCGAGGCCAACAACUCCAUCAAAGACCUCAAGCUGAAGCUGGAGGGUCUCGAGAAGGUGCUGUCGGAGGCCAAAACCCGAGAGGGGACCCUGGCCAAGGAGCUGGAGGCCGAGAAGCUGUUGCGGAAGAACGAGGGCCUCAACUUCGCAGAUCACGUGGAGGGCGAGAACCGCUGGUUCGAUCGCCUCGCCACCGUCGCCAACCAGGCCGCCGCGCAGCUGGCCAUCAUGGGGAUGCCGGACGUGAGGUAUGUCCCGAAGCGGAGCGUGAGCGCCAAUUGCAGCCUGACCAUGUUCUUUGAGAAGGUUGUCGGCGCUCUGGAGCGGCUCCACGCCAAUCGGGCGGCCUCACUGGCCGAUGAGUCCCGGAGGCUUUGCGAGGGUGCCAUGACCAAGGUUCUCACCAAGAUGGCGCACUGGUACCCCGACCUCGACUUCGACGCCGCGCUGGAGAGCUUGUCGGAGGGUACUGACCUCGCGCCGCUCAGGGAGCGCAUCAAGCCCAUCAUCAGCCGAGUCGGCGAAAUUCAGAGGGUGGAGGGCCAGCGCCGGGAUUAGGCACCCCGUUCUUUAUCGCCGCUGCAGUUUCACAACCAAGACAAUCGCUAUCUCUAGUUAGAACCGCAUCAACAAUUCGACGUAAUAUAACUCUGCAUCACUUUUAGUAUCAUGCAUGUUAUUUUCCUGUUCGAUUUUCCUUUGUAUGUCCACCCUACGUUACUAGGUAGGCUCGCCGGCGCGUAAACCCAAGGCGGCGUCUUGGAGACGGAUCCCCAUUGGCCUGCCGGGUGUGCUUGCUGCCGGGCGAACCACCUUGCCGCCCUUAGCGCGGCCGCCCGAACUGUCGAGCUUGACUCGAGUCAGAGUCGGGAGCAUUGCCAAGUGCGGAAGGCUACCCCGCCACUCUCGACGCGGCCGCUUUGAGCUAUUGAGCGGACUCGAAACAUAGCAAGGGCGUUGCCAAUUGUGGGAGGGCCCCUUUGCGUGCAGGUAUCUCAUACAUAGGCGAGAUCUCCGAGGACGAUAACCUUAUGUAUAGGAGGAAAUAACUCAAAGCUCUGAAUGACUUAGCUUUUCUGUUGCCGCGCCGGCGUCGUUCCUCCGGCCGCCUUCUUCUCAGGAGCCAUGGCGACGAAGAACUGCUAGGCUAACUACUAGACCAGAUUCUCACAACCGCGCCCCCUACCUGGCGCGCCAAAGAUGUCGGUGUGGAACGACACCUAUGGGAUCACAAGAAUCCCUACUACGGUUGCCGGGGCGCGGGGUUGCGAGAGGAGCAGGGUUAGUAGCCAGCACAAGGAUCGUUUACCCAGGUUCGGGCCGCGAGGAUGCGUAAAACUCUAGUCCUGCUUUGGUGGGUGUAUUUCAUAGAGUUCUUGAGCUCUCGAACUAGCUGUGGUCAGUGCGUGGUUCGAAAGAGCCGAAUCCUUCUCCAGUAUGCCAUGGGCCUCCUUUUAUAGUCGAAAGGUGCUGCCACAGUGGCACAUAGGAGGUGGAAAGGCGUACAGUGCCCUGAGCUUAUCGCUCGUAUUACAGGACAAGACGCAUUUAAUGCGUAGCUUAGGUGUCCCUCUGCUUUAUCAGGGACGGGGGCGAGGCCCGUCCCGUCCGUCGCUGCUCCUCCUCGCUUUGACACACGCCCUGGCCAGUGAGGCGUGCAACGCCAUGUAGGCAGGCAGGCAGCUGAGGUGGCGCGGUGGCGGAGCCUUCACGAAGAUCUGCAUGCCACCACGCAGGCGCUCGAUGAAUUGGCCUAGGAGCUGCAUGUUGCCACGCAGGUGCCCGCCCAGCUGGUUGGGCUGGCAGCUGGAUGUGAACGGCGGUGGAAGCUUGGUUGGCGUGGGCCUGGCGGUGGCCCUGCUGGCGUCCUUGGAGAGGGCCUUGCAGGGUGGCCCGGCAAGGGUCUUGCCGUGGCGCGCUGUCGUCCCCGUCAAGGACCUUGCCACGGGUCUGGUGGCUUUCCUCGGUAAGGAUUUUGCCGAGGGUUGUCGUCUUCUAAUCCUCAUAUGAUCUUGAAUAUGUCUUCGCAAAGAUCUGCUUGCCACCACAGAGGUGCCUUGCCGAGCCCUGGCCCCACGUGGAUGAUGGCGUUGGGGACCGUGGGCUCAAGGGUGGCUCGCUCUGUUGGUGUGGGGCGAGCUGUCCCGGCAAGGAUCUUGCCGGGGCUGCUGAGGCUUCCCUGGCAAGGGUCUUGCCGGGGGAACCUGCUUCGUCCCUCUGCUCUUUGUGGUCUUGGCCUUGGCUUUGCUCUGAUUAUCUUGAGCUUCGGUCUUACCUUGGCUCACCUCCCCUGCUCUGCUUGGCGUGACCGUAGGCGCGGCUCCGACUGCCCGUGCACAGGUAUAGGGGUACAAAAAUGCACCCCUCUUUUUGUACACCGACACUAUGAGAUUAUGCAACUCCCGAAUACCGGAGGAACACUUAGUGUUCUAUCAAACGUCACAACGUAACUAGGUGAUUAUAAAGAUGCUCUACAGGUGUCUCCGAUGGUGUUUGUUGGGUUGGCAUAGAUCGAGAUUAGGAUUUGUCACUCCGUGUUUCGGAGAGGUAUCUCUGGGCCCUCUCGGUAAUGCACAUCACUAUAAGCCUUGCAAGAAUUGUGACUAAUUAGUUAGUUGUGGGAUGAUGCAUUACAGAACGAGUAAAGAGACUUGCCGGUAAUGAGAUUGAACUAGGUAUUGAGAUACCACGAUCGAAUCUCGGGCAAGUAACAUACCGAUGACAAAGGGAACAACGUAUGUUGUUAUGUGGUUUGACCGAUAAAGAUCUUCGUAGAAUAUGUAGGAACCAAUAUGAGCAUCCAGGUUCCGCUAUUGGUUAUUGACCGGAAGUGAGUCUCGGUCAUGUCUACAUAGUUCUCGAACCCGUAGGGUCCGCACGCUUAACGUUCGAUGACGAUCGGUAUUAUGAGUUUAUGUGUUUUGAUGUACCGAAGGUUGUUCGGAGUCCCGGAUGUGAUCACGAACAUGACGAGGAGUCUCGAAAUAGUCGAGACAUAAAGAUCGAUAUAUUGGAAGGCUAUGUUUGGACACCGGAAAGGUUUCGGAUGAGUUUGGGCAUUUUCCGGAGUACCGGGAGGUUACCGGAACCCCCCGGGGAGUUAAUGGGCCUUAAUGGGCCAUGGUGGAAGAGAGGAGGAGGCGGCCAAGGUGGGGGCGCCCCCCCAGGCCCAAUCCGAAUUGGGAGGGGGGCCGGCCCCCCUUUUCUUCUCUCCCUCUCCCUCUUCCUUCUUCUCCUACUCCAACUAGGGAAGGGGGGAAACCUACUCCUACUGGGAGUAGGACUCCCCCCCUUGGGCGCGCCAUAGAGAGGGCUGGCCCUCCCCUCCUCCACUCCUUUAUAUACGGGGGAGGGGGCACCCCAUAGACACACAAGUUGAUUGUUUAGUCGUGUGCGGUGCCCCCCUCCACAGAUUUCCACCUCGGUCAUAUCGUUGUAGUGCUUAGGCGAAGCCCUGCGUCGGUAACUUCCUCAACACCAUCAUCACGCCGUCGUGGAGAUCAAAGGCACAAGAUGAUGAUGGCCAUAUCAUAUCACUUAUAUUGAUUGCAUGUGAUGUUUAUCCUUUAUGCAUCUUAUUUUGCUUAGUUCGACGGUAGCAUUAUAAGAUGAUCUCUCACUAAAUUUCAAGGUAUAAGUGUUCUCCCUGAGUAUGCACCAUUGCUACAGUUCGUCGUGCCGAGACACCACGUGAUGAUAGGGUGUGAUAAGCUCUACGUUCACAUACAACGAGUGCAAGCUAGUUUUGCACACGCAGAAUACUCGGGUUAAACUUGACGAGCCUAGCAUAUGCAGAUAUGGCCUCGGAACACUGAGACCGAAAGGUCGAGCAUUAAUCAUAUAGUAGAUAUGAUCAACAUAGUGAUGUUCACCAUUGAAAACUACUCCAUCUCACGUGAUGAUCGGACAUGGUUUACUUGAUAUGGAUCACGUGAUCACUUAGAUGAUUAGAGUGAUGUCUAUCUAAGUGGGAGUUCUUAAGUAAUAUGAUUAAUUGAACUCUAAUUUAUCAUGAACUUAGUACCUGAUAGUAUUUUGCAUGUCUAUGUUAUUGUAGAUAAAUGGCAUGUACUUCUGUUCCGUUGAAUUUUAAUGCGUCCUAGAGAAAGCUAAGUUGAAAGAUAAUGGUAGAAACUACACGGACUGGGUCCGUAACUUGAGGAUUAUCCUCAUUACUGCACAAAAGAAUUACGUCCUGGAAGCACCGCUAGGUGCUAGGUAUCACGCCCAAGAUGUGACCCUAUCCUAAAGGAACACGAAGGUCCCACCAAAGGAUAGAAGCGCAUCUUGAAGACGCUUUCGCAAGGUGGAUAUCAUUACAUCAACAUUGCAUAAUAUUUGGGGAUACAUACAAGGCAUACAAAUGCCGCAAGAAUACAUCAAUACAUCAUACAUAAGAUCAACAUCCGACUAUGGAUGAAACAUAAACAGAAACUCAAACGACAUCCACCCUGCUAGCCCAGGCUGCCGACCUGGAACCUAUCCCCUGAACGAAGAAGAAGCAGAAGAAGAACUCCAAACAAGUAAUCAUCGCUCUCGCGUCAUGAUCAUCGCACACCUGUACCUGCAACUGGUGUUGUAGUAAACUGUGAGCCACGAGGACUCAGCAAUCCCAUUACCAUGGGUAUCAAGACUAGCAAAGCUUAAAGGGAAAGGAAUGGAUAAGGUGGUGAGGUUGCAGCAGCGACUAAGCAAGUAUGGUGGCUAACUUACGCAACUGAGAGCGAGAAGAGAAGCAAAGGAACGGUCGUCAACUAGUAAUGAUCAAGAAGUGAUCCUGAACUCCUACUUACGUCAAACAUAACUCAGACCAUGUUCACCUCCCGGACUCCGCCGAGAAGAGACCAUCACGGCUACACACAUGGUUGAUGCGUUUUAAUUAAGUCAAGUGUCAAGUUCUCUACAACCGGAUAUUAACAAAUUCCCAUCUGCCACAUAACCGCGGGCACGGCUUUUGAAAGAUAAUACCCUGCAGGGGUGUCCCAACUUAGCCCAUUAUAAGCUCUCACGGUCAAUGAAGGAUAUUCCUUCUCCCGGGAAGACCCGAUCAGUCUCGGAAUCCCAGUUACAAGACAUUUCGACAAUGGUAAAACAAAACCAGCAAAGCUGCCCGAUGCGCCGACAUCCCGAUAGGAGCUGCACAUAUCUCGUUCUCAGGGCAACACCGGAUAAGUCAAGCUACGAGUAAAACCAGACCUCGAGUUUCCCCGAGGUGGCCCCGCAGGCUGCUCGGUUCGGACCAACACUUAGAGAAGCACUGGCCCGGGGGGUAAAAUAAGAUGACCCUCGAGAGAGCGACUCCCUAGGGAAAAGAAAUAGGCUAGGCAAAUGGUAAAACCAAGGUUGGGCCUUGCUGGAAGAGUUUUAUUCAAGGCGAACUGUCAAGGGGGUCCCAUAAAUCACUCAACCGUGUAAGGAACGCAAAAUCCGGGAACAUAACAUCGGUAUGACGGAAAAACUAGGGCGGCAAGAGUGGAACAAAACACCAGGCAUAAGGCCGAGCCUUCCACCCUUUACCAAGUAUAUAGAUGCAUUAAUAAUAUAUAAGAGAUAUUGUGAUAUCCCAACAUAAACAUAAUCCAACAUGGAGCAAUCUUCAUCUUCACCUGCAGCUAGCAACGCUAUAAGAGGGGCUGAGCAAAGCGGUAACAUAGCCAAACAAUGGUUUGCUAGGAAGGGUGACAAAGGUUAGAGGUUCAUGGCAAAAUGGGAGGCUUGAGGAGCAAGUGAAUAGGUAGCGCAGCAAAGCGAUAGAACGAAGCAACUAGCAUAGCAAUGAUAGUAAUGAGAUCCAAGGUGACGGUCAUCUUGCCUGAAAUCCCACUAGGAAGAAGAACAAAUCCAUGAAGAAGAUGAAGCCACGAAGACGAACGAAUCCUCACGAUCGCAACGACACGGGAACUAUCGAGAAGAAGCACACAACAAGGUAAACACACCACACAAGAACAAGGCAUGAUGCUCAACCAAGGAUGAUGCAUGACAAGGCUAUAUGAAGCUACCCAUGGCAAGAGAGGAUGCAUACAAGAGCAACACAUCAAGGCAAGUUUAAAUGAGGCCGGAAACAACAUAUAACAAUUCCGGUAAGUCUUCAUAUGCAAAUUUCGAAAUUGGUCCAGAACUGAAUAAGCAUUAAGUUGGAGUUGUUAAACAGCAAGUUAAAGAGCACCGUGGUGAUCUACACGAAAUUCUAGUCAAGUUACAUAUAAAGUUCAUUAGAUUUGGAGCUACGGUCUAGAAGAUAAGAGCAAAACAAGUUAAACAUGGCAUUGAUGCAAAAUGCAUACAAACAUCAAGCAAACACCUCAAAACAAGGGUGCAACAUGAUAAUAUGAAGCUACAUGCAAAUCUAAGCAAGUUUCAUAUGGAGCAUGCUCGAAACGGAGCAACGGUGCAACGCAUACACUCCAAACAAGACAUAGCAACAAUCUGUCCAAAAUAGCAACUAGGCAUAAUGCAAGCAUCAAAACAAUAUGCUACAGCAACUCAACAUGAAAACAAAAGGCAUGGACAUGAUGUACAGGUAAAGCACAACAAAACAGGAACACUGAGCUAUCUCCAGAAAUCUCUAGAACAAGCUCAAAAGGACAUGGCAAGAUUGCAAAUAAUAACAGGUUCACAGACUUGGCAGAAAUUACUGGACAUGACAGAAAUAACAUCAGGUUGCAAUGUUCAGAGCACAAUAUCAACAUGCUACAGGAACUUAACAUAGCAAAGAAAGGCAUGGCAUGAAUCUACUCAAAGUAUAUAACAAAAGUCCCUUACUGACCAUAAGCCAAAAAGGACCAGAAGAUAUGAUGACAAGCAUGUAAACAUAGCAAGUUUCGUUAUCAGGUUUCAGACUUAGCAGAAAACAGAGCAUGGCAGAAACUAUAAUAAGAAGGCAUGUUGGUGAGCUUGAUGCACUCACCACAAAGCAAUGCAUGAUAGACCAAACAUACCUACAGCAAGAUGUCAAAUUUAUGAAGCUAACCAUGGCAAUAACAAUAGCAUAGCAUGUAUGGAUCAACUACAAUAAGCUUGGCAAGAUUGCAUAUCAUGUUAAGAAUCUGCAAGAAAUAUUUUAUAGCAAAAGUAGAGCAAGAUUGAGUCAUGCUAUGGCACUCCAUAAUUGCAAACAAUUGCAGGAAUGAAUCAAUCACAACUAUAUCUACAAAACAUCCUUACUGAACAUCUCCAAAAUAUGCAUGGAUCUCUCUGUAGCAUCAAGUUUACAAGGCAACAAAAUAACAGCAGACAAAGACUUUGAGAAAAUACCAAGUUUCUGAAAUCAGAAACAUUACGGAGCCUACUUUGCAUGCUUGUGCUAGUCACCACAGAGAUCACAAAAAUACAUGGCAUACACCACUGGAAAGAUGGCAUGGCAUAAUUCAAAACACAUGUAGAGCUCAUGCCCAUAAGAUGCACAGAAUAAAUGAUACAAAAAUGACAAAUCUCCAAGUUCUGUUAAGAACCAGAGCAUAACAGCAACUAGCCCUCUUCCAACAGAGAUUUGGGCAUCAAGAUGGACUCAAAUGAACAUGGUGCAAUGGAACAAAAUGAAGAGCAUCACGAGAUGAACAAUUUGACAUAUUACACGCGCGGAACGGAGCUAUAUGCAUGAAGUUACGAUGCAGAGAACAUGGCAACAUAUUAGAAAAGUUCAGGGACUUGGAGAUAUUUUCGGGGUCAACCUCGUGCACUGUAGAUCUGGAUCGAGAGGAAGUAGCUCGAGCUCGGGCUCGGGCUCGCCGGGGACUUGCCGAAGGAGAGGGAGAGGGCGAGGUGCGGUGGAGGGGGGAACGUCGGCGCCGGCGGGCGGCGCGCCGGCGACCGGACGGCGGGACGCGGGCGANNNNNNNNNNNNNNNNNNNNNNNNNNNNNNNNNNNNNNNNNNNNNNNNNNNNNNNNNNNNNNNNNNNNNNNNNNNNNNNNNNNNNNNNNNNNNNNNNNNNNNNNNNNNNNNNNNNNNNNNNNNNNNNNNNNNNNNNNNNNNNNNNNNNNNNNNNNNNNNNNNNNNNNNNNNNNNNNNNNNNNNNNNNNNNNNNNNNNNNNNNNNNNNNNNNNNNNNNNNNNNNNNNNNNNNNNNNNNNNNNNNNNNNNNNNNNNNNNNNNNNNNNNNNNNNNNNNNNNNNNNNNNNNNNNNNNNNNNNNNNNNNNNNNNNNNNNNNNNNNNNNNNNNNNNNNNNNNNNNNNNNNNGGGCCGGAUCUGGGCUCGCGGGCCCGCGGCGGGAAACGGCGGCGGCGAAGGCUGAGGUGGCGCGCUGUGAGUGGUGGAGGGAGGCGGCGGAGGCGACGUGGCGAUCCACGAUUGGCCGGGGCGACGUGGCCGGUGGACGCGUCCGGCGCGGGUGGACAUGUCCGGUAGCGCGAGGAUGAAGAUGACUAGGGUUAGGGUGGUUUCAUCCGUGGUUUGAGGAGGGGGAGGUGUUUAAAUAGGUAGAAGGAUCUAGGAGAGUCCAAACGGGGUGCGGUUUUCGCCCACGCGAUCGUGAUCGAAUGACCGAGAGCAUGGCGGAGACUUAGAGGGGUUUUGGGGCUGUUUGAAGGGGGGUUUUGCUGUAACACACAAAAGGACUUGCGGUUACCCGGUUAACCGUUGGAGUACCAAACGACCUCCAAAUGGAACGAAACUUGACCGGUGGUCUACCGGUAGUAUACCAAGGUCACUUGACAAGACUCGGUCCAUUCCGAGAAAGUUCAACACCCGCACACGAAAAGAAACAAGAGGGGUGCGCCGGAGGAGAUGGGAGUGCCGGAUUGCAAAACGGACAACGGGGAAAAUGCUCAGAUGCAUGAGACGAACACGUAUGCAAAUGCAAUGCUCAUGAUGACAUGAUAUGAAAUGCAGUGAUGACAUGGAAAAAUGCAACACGCAAGCAGAUGACAUGGCAACGACAGCGAAUAACUGGCAGACACCUGGCGCAUGGGAUCCGGGGCGUUACACUAGGCCUGCUGCAGAUGCUACUGAUGACGUUAAGAACGUCUGGCAGAGCAAAGCUGAUGACUACUCGAUAGUUCAGUGUGCCAUGCUUUACGGCUUAGAACCGAAACUUCAACGACGUUUUGAACGUCAUGGAGCAUAUGAGAUGUUCCAGGAGUUGAAGUUAAUAUUUCAAGCAAAUGCCCGGAUUGAGAGAUAUGAAGUCUCCAAUAAGUUCUAUAGCUGCAAGAUGGAGGAGAAUAGUUCUGUCAGUGAACAUAUACUCAGAAUGUCUGGGUACCACAACCACUUGACUCAACUGGGAGUUAAUCUUCCUGAUGAUAGUGUCAUUGACAGAGUUCUUCAAUCACUGCCACCAAGCUACAAAAGCUUCGUGAUGAUGCAAGGGAUGGAUAAGACAAUUCCCGAGCUCUUCGCGAUGCUAAAAGCUGCGGAGGUAGAAAUCAAGAAGGAGCAUCAAGUGUUGAUGGUCAACAAGACCACCAGUUUCAAGAAGAAGGGCAAAGGGAAGAAGGGGAACUUCAAGAAGAACGGCUAGCAAGUUGCUGCUCAAGUGAAGAAGCCCAAGUCUGGACCUAAGCCUGAGACUGAGUGCUUCUACUGCAAAGGGACUGGUCACUGGAAGUGGAACUGCCCCAAGUAUUUGGCGGGUAAGAAGGAUGGAAAAGUGAAAGGUAUAUUUGAUAUACAUGUUAUUGAUGUGUACUUAACUAAUGCUCGUAGUAGCGCCUGGGUAUUUGAUAAUGAUUCUGUUGCUCAUAUUUGUAACUCGAAACAGGGGCUACGGAUUAAGCGAAGAUUGGCUAAGGACGAGAUGACAAUGCGCGUAGGAAAAUGGUUCCAAAGUCGAUGUGAUCGCAGUCGGCACACUGCCUCUACAUCUACCUUCGGGAUUAGUUUUAGACCUGAAUAAUUGUUAUUUGGUGCCAGCGUUGAGCAGGAAUAUUAUAUCUAGAUCUUGUUUGAUGCAAGACGGUUAUUCAUUUAAAUCAGAGAAUAAUGGUUGUUCUAUUUAUAUGAGUAAUAUUUUUUAUGGUCAUGCACCCCUAAUGAGUGGUCUAUUUUUUUUGAAUCUCGAUAGUAGUGAUACACAUAUUCAUAGUAUUGAAGCCAUAAGAUAUAAGUUUAAUAAUGAUAGUGCAACUUAUUUGUGGCACUGCCGUUUAGGUCAUAUUGGUGUAAAGCGCGUGAAGAAACUCCAUGCUGAUGGGCUUUUGGAAUCACUUGAUUAUGAAUCACUUGAUACUUGCGAACCAUGCCUCAUGGGCAAGAUGACGAAGACUCCGUUCUCCGGAACUAUGGAGCGAGCAACAAACUUGUUGGAAAUAAUACAUACCGAUGUAUGCGGUCCGAUGAGUGUUGAUGCUCGCGGCGGGUAUCGUUAUUUUCUGACCUUCACAGAUGAUUUGAGCAGAUAUGGGUAUAUCUACUUAAUGAAACAUAAGUCUGAAACAUUUGAAAAGUUCAAAGAAUGUAGCGACCAGACCUCAAAUAGUCUGUGCUGCUGUGCACCAGUGUCAUCCGUGGAUCAGUAAUGCUGACACACACAGUACAAAUGGAGGAUUUAUAACAGAGUAGCAAUCACACACUUAUUACAACGAAUAUCUCAAAAGAGAAUAAGUAUGAUAAAUAUGGCUUAAGGCCAUCUAAAUACGAUAAUAGCGGAAGACUUGGAAGAUAAGUGAGUCCAUCAACUCCAACGGUAUCACUGAGUAUAAGACCACGACCUAAGGCACCUUACUCGUCGUCUGAAAAGUCUGCAACAUGAAACGUUGCAGCCCAAAAACGGGUCAGCACAUGGAAUAUGCUGGCAAUAUAACACAUAGAGAAUAAUGAACAUAAUAAUGCUAUACUACAUGCAUAUAUGGCUGGUGGAAAGCUCUAUGGUUACAGUUUUGCGAAAAGCCAAUUUUUGCCUACUGCAAAGGAAUAAAUUUUUAUUUAACUAUCAUGGUGGUUGUUAAACAUUGAGAAGGUACCUCCAACUCAAUCCCAAUUAAAUGUCAUCAUUAACCCAACAAAAUUAAUUAAAGUAACUUGGUGAUGAGAUUCACAUGAUAAUCCAGGUACUAGAUACUCAAGUUGUCCAUAACCGGGGACACGGCUAACCAUGAUUAGUUUGUACACUCUGCAGAGGUUUGUGCACUUUUCCCCACAAGACUCGAUCGCCUCCGCUUGAUUCUCGCACAACAUGAUGUUUGAGAAACGGAUGACCGAGACACAGUCUUUCAGAAACAAUCACCCUUUACUCCGGAUGGACAGUUACACGUACUCUCCCCUACAUCUGCUAGCCCACCUCUUCAAGAGAUCAUGUAACCUACUCAACUAUGCUAGAGCCCAUAAUAGCUUGUGGCUACACACGGAAGUCUCUAGCAUGAAUAAUUUUAUGAUCCCUUUGAGCCUGGGUGGCGGUCCUUAUAAAAACAGACAACACUGGGUUCUCCAGGUGCCUCAAUCCACCCAGAUGUGAUUUUUAGUUGCCACCUUAAGUAAACCAUUAUUAACAAUCUCACAUCUGUCAUGAAUAUCUCUCAAACCCAAUCCACGUCUACGAGCAUAGCAUGGCAAUAUAAGCAACGUAGAAAGUAACUCCCGAGGGUUUGAUAAAUAAAACAGGUAAUAGGUACUACCUCAACUACUUCCCAAUACCCACAGUUUAAUUAGAUCCUAGCCAUGCAAUGUUUGAGGAUUGAUCUAACGCAAUAAAAACUGGGUAUGGAAGAGUAUGAUCAAAGUGUUACUUGCCUUGCUGAUGAUCCGCGAAACCUAGAGAUUCGAAGUAACAAGCGGCGCACUCCGGGUACUCUAUCGCAAACAAACAAGCAAACAAUAAGUACUCAUAUAAUGUACAGGUAAAACUCGAAUAAAAGAUCCAACCAGAAAGUUCAACUUAAGAACUCCGGUUUGCAAAAAGAAUCAACUCGAACGAAGCAACGAAAGUCAAACGGCGAAAGAAAUAAGCUUCGUUUACUAUUCUGGAUCUAGGUCAAAUUUUACAGUAGCAAAAACUUGUUCGAGUAGGUUAAACAGAAAGAGAAUUUCGAGAUGAAACUCUAGGCGCUUGAAUCGCCUGAUUCCGAUAAACGAGCGAAAAGUUAAACAAAAACGAAGAUCCGAUCAGAAAUCGAGAUCUGGAAUAAUCGCGGAAAAAUCUGACGAAAAAGAAAACUGACGAACGGUUAAAGAAUGGACGUUCAUUAACAGCAAAAAUCCGACGAACACGUUCGUUAAAACGAACGGGUCGGUGAACGUUCACUAAAUAAUAAAACCGAAGAAAAAUAAACCAAUCUAGGGUUUAGAAAAAAACGAACGGUUUUGUUUUAGAAAACCGGCAACGGCGUCGGAUCGGUACCUCGUCGGGACGGGGCUCCGGCGGGGUCGGCGGGCUCCGGCGGGGUUCGGNNNNNNNNNNNNNNNNNNNNNNNNNNNNNNNNNNNNNNNNNNNNNNNNNNNNNNNNNNNNNNNNNNNNNNNNNNNNNNNNNNNNNNNNNNNNNNNNNNNNNNNNNNNNNNNNNNNNNNNNNNNNNNNNNNNNNNNNNNNNNNNNNNNNNNNNNNNNCGGCGGGGGUAUAUAUGAGGGGGGGGCUGCUUGGAGGAGGGGGCAAGGCGGCGGCGAUGGCGUGCUCGCCUCAGACUCGGGCGCGGCGGCGCUCGUGUGCGCGCGAGGGAGACGGCGGGGCUGGGCCGGCCGGCUCGGCUGGGCCUCGGCCCGGUCGGGCGCGAUGUUUUUUUUAAAAAUUAUUCCACCGAAUCUAAAAAAAUCACAGAAAAAUAAAUAAAAAUCCAAAAAUGAUAAAACAAAAUUUUCCCCGUCUAAUUAAAAUAAUUAGGACAAGGUGAACAUUUUUUUGACACAAAAAUGCAGUUUUGAAAACGUGCAAAUUUUUUUUAAUGCAAUUAAAAUUGCAAAUAAAAUCCGAAUAAAAUCCAAUAUAUGAUUUUAAUAUUUUCCUCCAAUAUUUCAAUUGUUUUGGAGAAGUCAUAUUUUCUCCUCUCAUUUAUUUUAAUAUGAAAUAUUUUUCCGGAGAGAAAAUAAUUAAAACCAAAAUCCUCGUUUUAUUAUUUGAUAAAAAUCAAAUAUGAAAAAUCGGGAAAAUCCCCAACUCUCUCCGAGGGUCCUUGAGUUGCUUAGGAUUUAUUAGAGGAUUUGCCAAAAUGCAAUAAAAUAUGCUAUGCAAUGAUGAUCUAUGUAUAACAUUCCAAAUUGAAAAUUUGGGAUGUUAGAAACCUACCCCCCUUAAGAUGAAUCUCGCCCUCGAGAUUCGGGUUGGCUAGAAAACAGGUGGGAGUAGUCCUUCUGUAGGUCUUCCUCUCGCUCCCAGGUGGCUUCAUCUUCCGUGUGGUGACUCCACUGGACUUUGCAAAACUUGAUAACCUUACUGCGGGUGACUCGGCUGGCAUACUCGAGAAUCUUAACUGGUUUCUCCUCAUAGGUCAAAUCACUUCCCAGCUGAAUCGCUUCCAGUGGCACUGUAUCUCUCAGUGGUAUCUCAGCCAUCUCUGCGUGGCACUUCUUCAACUGUGAAACGUGAAAUACAUCAUGAACUCCUGACAAUCCUUCGGGCAAUUCCAGUUUGUAGGCAACUUCUCCCAUACGUUCCAAAACUCUAUAUGGUCCGAUAAAACGGGGCGCUAGCUUUCCCUUAACUCCAAAGCGCUUCACUCCUCGAAGUGGUGAUACCCGAAGAUAAACUCUGUCUCCGACUUCGUAAACUGUCUCCUUUCGUUUAGAAUCCGCAUAACUCUUGUGUCUGGACUGGGCUACCUUGAGCCUAUCGCGAAUCAACCUCACUUUCUGUUCAGACUCCUUAAUCAAAUCUGGUCCAAACAACUGACGGUCUCCUACUUCGUCCCAUAACAAUGGUGUUCUACACCUCCUUCCGUACAAAGCUUCGAAAGGGGCCAUCUUCAAACUGGUUUGAUAACUGUUGUUGUAGGAAAACUCUGCAUAUGGCAAAUUGUCGUCCCAACUAGAUCCAUAAUCUAGUGCACAUGCUCUCAACAUGUCCUCCAAAAUCUGAUUGACUCUCUCGGUCUGUCCAUCUGUCUGUGGGUGAAAGGCUGCACUAAAUUCUAGCCUGGUUCCCAAUGUUUCAUGUAACUGCUUCCAAAACUUCGAGGUAAACUGGGUUCCUCUGUCUGAUACAAUGGUCCUCGGAACUCCAUGCAAACAUACGAUCCUGGUCAUGUAUAUCUUUGCCAACUUAGCACUAGUGUAAGUGGUCUUUACUGGAAUGAAAUGAGCUACUUUCGUCAAACGGUCGACUACAACCCAUAUUGAGUCAUAGCCUGAAUGAUUCCUGGUCAAUCCCGUGAUAAAAUCCAUGCCUAUUUUAUCCCACUUCCAUUCGGGUAUCGGCAAUGGUUGUAGCAAUCCUGCUGGCUUCUGAUGCUCUGCCUUCAGUCUCUGACAUACAUCACAAACUGCUACAUACUCCGCAAUAUCCUUCUUCAUUCCGGUCCACCAGAAAGUAUCCUUCAAAUCCAAAUACAUCUUGGUAUUUCCUGGGUGAAUCGAAUACGGUGAAUCAUGGGCCUCUUGCAAAAUCAACUUCCUGAUCUCCGGAUCAUUUGGCACGUAAACGCGGUCCUCAAACCAUAAGGUAUCGUGCUCAUCCUCACGAAAACCCUUGGCUUUUCCUUUGCUCAUCUUUUCCUUUAUCUCGUCAAUCUCCUUGUCUGACUUCUGAGCUUCUCUGAUCUUUUCCAUCAAGGUAGACUGAAUCUCCAAUGUCGCCAAAUAGCCUCUUGGGACUAUCUCCAAACAUAGCUCGCGAAGGUCCUCGGCUAACUCCUGAGGUAACUCUCCUGUCAUGAGGGUGUUGACAUGGCUCUUGCGGCUCAACGCAUCAGCUACUACGUUAGCCUUCCCUGGGUGAUAAUGCAAUCUCAUAUCAUAGUCCUUAAUAAGCUCCAACCAUCUCCUCUGUCUGAGAUUUAACUCCUUCUGCGUGAAAAUAUACUUCAAACUCUUGUGAUCCGUGUACACCUCACAAUGGUUUCCGAUGAGAAAAUGUCUCCAUGUCUUCAACACAUGCACCACGGCUGCUAACUCCAAAUCAUGCGUAGCAUAAUUCUUCUCAUGGGGUUUAAGUUGUCGUGAAGCAUAUGACACAACUCUACCUUCCUGCAUAAGCACUGCUCCAAGUCCUCGACGAGAAGCAUCACAAUAAACUUCAUAAUCCUUGCGCUGGUCUGGCAGAAUCAACACUGGUGAUGUAACCAAUCGUUUCUUCAAUUCUUGGAAACUAGCUUCACAAUCCUCAGUCCAAUUGAAUUUGGUGUCCUUCUUCAAUAGCUCAGUCAUGGGCUUUGCAAUCUUUGAGAAAUUCUCAAUGAACCACCGGUAGUAUCCUGCAAGUCCAUGGAAACUCCGGAUCUCUCCAACUGACGUGGGUGAUUCCCAACUUGUUACUGUGUCCACUUUGGCGGGGUCUACUGCUAUUCCUUCUCCAGAAAUAACAUGUCCGAGGAAUCCAACUUCCUUCAGCCAAAAUUCACAUUUGCUGAACUUGGCAUAUAACUGAUGUUCUCUGAGCUUCUCAAGUACCAAUCGCAAAUGCUCCUCAUGCUCUUCCUCAUUCUUGGAAAAGACUAAAAUAUCGUCAAUGAACACCACGACGAACUUAUCCAAAAACUCCAUAAACACUUUGUUCAUCAGGUUCAUGAAAUAGGCAGGUGCGUUAGUCAGACCAAAUGACAUAACGGUAUACUUGUAUAGCCCAUACCUGGUGGUAAAAGCCGUCUUAGGUAUAUCCUGCUCUCGAAUCUUUAACUGAUGGUAUCAUGAUCGUAGAUCGAUCUUGGAAAAUACUUUAGCUCCUUGUAAGCGGUCAAACAAAUCAUUGAUCAUCGGCAGUGGGUACUUGUUUUUGAUGGUCACUUCAUUCAAUCCACGGUAAUCAACAACCAUCCUCAACGAUCCAUCUUUCUUCUCCACUAGAAGUACUGGUGAUCCCCAAGGUGACGAACUUGGGCGAAUAUAGCCUUUAUCCAAUAACUCCUUAAUCUGCUUCUUAAUUUCCUCCAAAUCUUUUGCGGGCAUCCUGUACGGUCUCUUAGAUAUUGGCCCUGUGCCUGGCAAAAGUUCAAUCAAGAACUCAAUGUGUCUAUCUGGUGGCAUGCCUGGCAACUCUUCUGGAAAAACAUCCGGGUAAUCCUUCACCACUGGUACUUCCUCCUGUACCACUCCUGAUAAGGAAUUCACUUGAGUCCUCUUCGGCACAUGCCGGGAUACAUACUUGAUCCUUCUUCCUUCUGGGGUGGUAAGCAAAAUCGACUUACUGGCGCAAUCGAUGUUUCCUCCAUACAUCGAUAGCCAAUCCAUUCCCAAAAUCACAUCCAAACCUUGCGACUCCAAAAUUAUUAGGUCCGAGGGGAAAACAUGCCUACCAAUGGCCAAUGGCAUCUGAAAACAUCCUUGGCUUGCCAUAUACUCUGCUCCUGGCGAGGUUACUAACAUAGGUGUUUUGAGAACUUUGGUGGGCAACUUAAACUUAUCCACAAAUCCCCUUGAUAUGUAUGAAUGCGAUGCACCAGUAUCGAAAAGAACGAUUGCAGUAAAUGAGUUAACCAAAAACUUACCUAUUACUGCAUCAGGCUGUGCUUCAACCUCUUCCACGCUCACGUGGUUCACAUGUCCUUUGUUGAACGGGUUUGGCUUCUUCCCAGAGCUUCCAUUGCAUUACCAUUCUGGGCUUCAUGACAAUCAGUUGCAUAAUGUCCAGUCUUCUGGCACUUGAAACAAGUAAUGUGACUUAGAUCCCUCUUGGCUGGGGUAUGGGUUGGUGCGGUUCUGUCCGUUGGUUCCUCCGUUCCCAUUACCAUUCUUGGAGCCAUUAUGGUUGUGCGAACUACCUCCUCCAUGGGUAUGCUGAAACUGUCCUCCCGGUUUCGGGGCAAAACGUAGCUUCUGCUGAGCUCCAGAAUUGUACUUCCCUUGUCCAUACUUCCUCUUACGGUUUUCAAUCUGCUGUUGUUUCCCUUCAAUCAUGAGAGCUCUAUCUACCAACUCCUGGUAGUUGUUGAAGGUUGCUACCAUCAACUGCAUACUCAGUUCAUCAUUCAGUCCUUCCAAAAACUUCUCCUGCUUGGCUGGAUCUGUAGCAACGUCAUCUGGUGCAUAACGUGCUAACUUACUGAAAUCCUCCACAUACUGGCCUACGGUGCGUCCUCCUUGGCGUAGGUUGCGAAACUCACGCUUCUUCAUAGCCAUAGCUCCCGCUGAAACAUGAGCUGUACGGAAAGCUUGCUGAAACUGGUCCCAUGUGACAGUGUCAAUAGGGUGUGUGGCUGUGUAAUUCUCCCACCAUGAUGCUGCGGGUCAAUCAAGCUGAUGUGCGGCAAAACGCACUCUUUCUGCAUCUGUGCAUCCUGCAGUGGUCAACUCCCUUCCAACUUUGUGGAGCCAAUCAUCUGCAACAAUCGGCUCGGUGCUACUGGAAAACACCGGCGGGUUUAGCCUCAAGAAACGGGCUAAGUGAUCAACAGGUGGAGGUGGUGGGUUGUUGUUGUUGUUGCCUUGGUUCUGUACUAACACUUGCAUCAGGGCAUUCUGUUGCUGAAUCAACUGGGUGAUCUCCGGUGGGAAAACAAAUCCGGUGUCACGUCUCGGAGGCAUCUGAUGGGUUAGAAAAGAUGAGAGUUAAGAAUAGAAUGAGGUCUAGAGGGAAAACACUACCCAUAUGCUCAUGAGACAAAUACAAUCAAUAUCACUCAAUCAAUUCAAACAAGGCAUACAAUCGAUCUAACUAGCGUUACAAAGUGCUUGAACUAUACUAUUAAAUGGGGGAAAACUACUACUGAUAUGGUGGUCUACUAGAAAUUCUGAUCAGUUGAAGACUCCAUGAUAUCUGCUCCAGCUUCAUCAACAAAGUCAUCUUCAUUGGGGUCCGAGUCGGUGUCGUUGAUGAUGAUGUAGUUAUCCGGGCAAGCGCAUUCGUCAUCUUCUGCGUUUGGCACUGGAUUUCCCAUGAAUACUCCAAUCUUCUUCUCCAGGUCGUCAUUCUUCCCUACUAGUGCGAUGAUUUCCUCCAAAUAAUCCUCGCGUGUAGCCUUGAGUUCUUCCUCCAGCUCCUUGAUCUUCGUCAAUGCCUUCUUCAGAUCUUCCUUGUCUGAGCACAUCUGGUUCUCCUGGCGACGAAUGUGUUGGUUUUGCUCCUAGAUGAAAACUGCAAUUGAUCCAUCCUUCUUGGUUCUGAUCAUCUCCCAUUGCUCGUCUCGGCGUCCACAAAUCUGAUAAAUUGUAUCCUUAAGCUCCCUGUGGUAGACUUCUCCAAUGCGUCCCAUAGCGAUGUGGGCGGCCAUGCUCUUCCCUAAACUCCAGGUUGGUGCUUCGAAAACCAAUCUUAUGGGUUCAGUAACUGGCACAAAUGUCCUUCCUGGAACUUGAACUUGAAUCUUCCAGCUCUCCUCUUCGGGUAAUGUGGCGUUGUAGGUUCCGGUGAUGCUUGGUAUUCCUAUGUUCAAGUACAUAGUGAUUUCCUUCAAGUGUCGUCCAAAAUGUGUAUCUUCAUCUGGUUGCAUGAACUUGCUCCUUGCAUCCGCCAUUCCUAAAAGAGUAGAAUGUGGAGAGGGGUCAGAAAUGAGAAGAGAGAAGUGUUCUAGGGCUUAAGCUUAGUGGUCGUGUCCUACAGUCAGCGUGUGCUCUGAUACCACCUUUGUAGCGACCAGACCUCAAAUAGUCUGUGCUGCUGUGCACCAGUGUCAUCCCUGGAUCAGUAAUGCUGACACGCACAGUACAAAUGGAGGAUUUAUAAUAGAGUAGCAAUCACACACUUAUUACAACGAAUAUCUCAAAAGAGAAUAAGUAUGAUAAAUAUGGCUUAAGGCCAUCUAAAUACGAUAACAGCGGAAGACUUGGAAGAUAAGUGAGUCCAUCAACUGCAACGGCAUCACUGAGUAUAAGACCACGACCUAAGGCACCUUACUCGUCGUCUGAAAAGUCUGCAACAUGAAACGUUGCAGCCCGAAAACGGGUCAGCACAUGGAAUAUGCUGGCAAUAUAACACAUAGAGAAUAAUGAACAUAAUAAUGCUAUACUAUAUGCAUAUAUGGCUGGUGGAAAGCUCUAUGGUUACAGUUUUGCGAAAAGCCAAUUUUUGCCUACUGCAAAGGAAUAAAUUUUUAUUUAACUAUCAUGGUGGUUGUUAAACAUUGAGAAGGUACCUCCAACUCAAUCCCAAUUAAAUGUCAUCAUUAACCCAACAAAAUUAAUUAAAGUAACUUGGUGAUGAGAUUCACAUGAUAAUCCAGGUACUAGAUACUCAAGUUGUCCAUAACCGGGGACACGGCUAACCAUGAUUAGUUUGUACACUCUGCAGAGGUUUGUGCACUUUUCCCCACAAGACUCGAUCGCCUCCGCUUGAUUCUUGCACUACAUGAUGUUUGAGAAACGGAUGACCGAGACAGUCUUUCAGAAACAAUCACCCUUUACUCCGGAUGGACAGUUACACCUACUUUCCCCUACAUCUGCUAGCCCACCUCUUCAAGAGAUCAUGUAACCUACUCAACUAUGCUAGAGCCCAUAAUAGCUUGUGGCUGCACACGGAAGUCUUUAGCAUGAAUAAUCUUAUGAUCCCUUUGAGCCUGGGUGGCGGUCCUUAUAAAAACAGAAAACACUGGGUUCUCCAGGUGCCUCAAUCCACCUAGAUGUGAGUUUUAGUUGCCACCUUAAGUAAACCAUUAUUAACAAUCUCACAUCUGUCAUGAAUAUCUCUCAAACCCAAUCCACGUCUACGAGCAUAGCAUGGCAAUAUAAGCAACGUAGAAAGUAACUCCCGAGGGUUUGAUAAAUAAAACAGGUAAUAGGUACUACCUCAACUACUUCCCAAUACCCACAGUUUAAUUAGAUCCUAGCCAUGCAAUGUUUGAGGAUUGAUCUAAUGCAAUAAAAACUGGGUAUGGAAGAGUAUGAUCAAAGUGUUACUUGCCUUGCUGAUGAUCCGCGAAACCUAGAGAUUCGAAGUAACAAGCGGCGCACUCCGGGUACUCUAUCGCAAACAAACAAGCAAACAAUAAGUACUCAUCUAAUGCACAGGUAAAACUCGAAUAAAAGAUCCAACCAGAAAGUUCAACUUAAGAACUCCGGUUUGCAAAAAGAAUCAACUCGAACGAAGCAACGAAAGUCAAACGGCGAAAGAAACAAGCUUCGUUUACUAUUCUGGAUCUAGGUCAAAUUUUACAGUACCAAAAGCUUGUUCGAGUAGUUUAAACAGAAAGAGAAUUUCGAGACGAAACUCUAGGCGCUUGAAUCGCCUGAUUCCGAUAAACGAGCGAAAAGUUAAACAAAAACGAAGAUCCGAUCAGAAAUCGAGAUCUGGAAUAAUCGCGGAAAAAUCUGACGAAAAAAAAACUGACGAACGGUUAAAGAACGGACGUUCGUUAACAGCGAAAAUCCGACGAACACAUUCGUUAAAACGAACGGGUCGGUGAACGUUCA
rnacentral:lncRNA from 1 species